rnacentral:lncRNA from 1 species
CGUUGGUGAUGAGGUCGUCCAUGCUCUUCUUGGCGAACAGCUUGGCGAACAGGGCGGGCCAGUAGCCCUCGACCUCAACACCAGCGGCCUUGCAGAUGGUGUUGAUGUUGUCCGCGGUAAUCUCCAGACCGUCGUCGUGGAGAAUCAGGGCGGCGUAAGUGCAGGCCAGCUCGGAGGUCGACAUCCUGAAAGUUGUUUAAGCCUAGGGGCCCUAACAGGUGUGAUCGACCGGUUUUGGAAGGAGAAAGAGUCGUCGUGUGCCCGGGUUUUGUUGAGCAAGGGUCGGCGACGCCCAUGCGCCUCAUUGCAAACCGUCCUCUGCCGACUCUGCACGCCCUUGCAACCCCCCACUUCCGUAUUUGCCCAACCCCUUUGUAAAUAUAACUACUGACCUACUUCCAGCAAACGACACGCCAUACCUCGGCACGGUGCCUUGCUGCCGGCAGCUCGCGGGUAGUAUGGGAUCGAAGCUUUGAUCACUUUUCUUGAAUACAUAUUACCGAAUUGGCUCUAGGUAGUAAACAUGUCCGUGCUCACAAAGUGGCUGGGCCUGCCCUCAUUCUUGUUCUCCGUGUUUGUGUUCUACUGGAGUUUGCCCAUCUUUGCGAUCCUAUAUCGUAUCCGCUUCGCCUCUCUGGGGAAGCGCAAUGAUAUGCUCGACUGGUGCGUGCCUGCCGAUGAGGGGAUGGUGGCCGCGUCCAUGUCGCUGGCUUCACCAACGCAACGCAUGGCCCAGUGCAAUGCUGUAUGAGCCUGGCAUGACUGGAAGAGAGUCAUGGGGAGCUAGGUGUUGCAUUUGCAAUUGAGUUGGGGGGGUGGGGGCAGUGGCGGGUUCGGGGAGGGGCAGGCCGAAACGCGUGGCUGCACCUAGCAGCGCCCCUACCGCCUGGGUUGCCUUUCCUCCCCUUCCUCCUGCUCAGCAACCUGUUGACCUCUCGUAUUGUGUCUUGGGGUUCUGGAUCUCCAUCCCUUGUUGUCGCUUGUUCUGCUUCGCAGGGCCCGCGCGCUCGUCGCCUACUUCCGAGUAACGCUCCUGCAGGCGGGGGAGCACACGCUGUACAAGGGAGGGCCAUGCCUGUACCUGGUGCGUACGGCGGUGGUAGCAUGGCGGGAUGCUACAAGGCAGUACGGCAGGCCCCGGGGGCGGCAGGCACCUGCCGUGCGGGAUCGGCGGGCGGGGCAGGGGUGGAGCCUAGUCUGCCUAGGUGGCGUCAACAGGAGCUCGGAUGGCUCGGGCUGGUGCCGGCGGCGCCAAGCAGGGGCAACGCGGGCCGUGCUGCGGCUGGAGCGGGAGGGCGGUAGCUGCCAGCAGCUGCCAGCGUGACAGGCGCUGCCGAGUGGGGGGCUUCAUGGGGGACCAUGGGCAGCAACGGAGAACCGACCGAGCCACGGACAUUGGGCCAGCUGGCUUUGAGGAGAGCAAGGACAGCGGUGGGGUGCAGUGGGGCAGCAGCGCGACGGCGCGAGUUGGGUCUUUGCCGGCCUGUCCACUUUGCAGUGCAGUGCAGUGCGGUGCACCGCACUGGACGUGGGGCGGAGGCUGGGAGCCCGAGCCGCCAGCCCUGGCCUGCAGUACCAGGGGCCUGCGUCUGCUAGCGGCUGGCCUGCGCCGCUAGUUCAUCUGCCCCUCAAUGGGACUGCCCCACACGCACAUAGCUACCCCAGCCUCAUUACAUGCACGUGCCAAGUGCCGCCGCUGCAUGAAGUGCCGCCGCUGCAUCGACCAGGGCGCGCCGUGGCCAUCCCCAUCUGCCGCACACCUCCCCCAUCGCCCUAACCUCCGCCGUCUGCACCGCCCCCUCCAACCUGGCUGCUGCGGCUGCAGUGCAACCACCGCAGCUGGGCGGACUUCUUCAUUGACGCCUACCUCACUGAGGGCCGCGCGGCGCUCAUGAGCAGGUGUGUGUGCGUGUGCGCGCGCGCGUGCGUGUGUGUUUGUGGAGAAAGGCGUGUUUGUUGGGGGGAGAAGCGUAUCGGAGGCCGUGUGCGGGGGAGUGUGACAAGUCAUAGGGUGGGGUGGGUGGGGUGUUCAGCGGCCGUGUCGGGCGUUGUACUGGAUGCAAUGGCCCCGUGCAGGCGAGCUGGCUGGGCGACACUCCGUAUUGGCUGGCUGCAGCUCAGGACGUCCGCUCGAAGCAGUGUCCCAGCUUCCAAAACAUGUCGCUUGCCGACCGCCCACACACACACACGCACACACGCAGGUGGCUGGUGUAUUUCGUGUUCCCAGUGUUCUGUACCUCGUGCAUGAUCCUCAAGGGGAUAGUGCUGUUCAAGCGCGGCACCAUUGCGGAUAAAGAGGUGGGAAGGUCCGGCACCCAGGGUCGGGUGGCAGGCUUCAGCGCGGGGCCGGAUGAGCGGAUGACACGUGCGGCAGUGACGAGGGCCAGGCAUGAGCUUGGGCUGGCUUCGCGCCAGGCUCCGCGCACCGAGCGCACCGUGUGCUCCUCCGCCGUCGUGGCUCUUCGACUCGAGCUCACGCCUCAUCCUUCCGCAUUUCCAUCCCCACGGCCCAGCAUGCCACCCAUACCCCAUUGCAACAACCCCCUCAUCUGCCUGCCUUUCUCUCUCCCGCCCGCCCCGCGAACCUGGCAGGCCUUCAACGCCUGGCUUGACCAGACCCUGGGCAGCAGCCACGUGCCUGGGCUGCUGGUGUACCCCGAGGGUGAGUGCGGGCGUGGGAAGAGGGUCACGGGCAGGGGUGAGGGUAAGGCCGGGCGGGGGAAGCGGGAUCCGGGGGCACAUGGAGCCUGGCGGACGGGGAUGGGGCAACGGGCCAGGGUUCGUGUCUAGCCAAGAUGGAGGCAUGGGGUUGCGUCAGGAGCUGCGAGGUGUGGUACGUGCUGGCGUCAUCCGGUGGGCUGCCUGCAGACACAGGAAAUGAGGGCGCCUGACAAUAGUGGCGAGGAGGGAGAUGGAUGACCGGGCUAGAAGCGAGCUGACAGGGGCACGAGGGCCGUAGUGCACACGCCCCGCCAACCACUAAAACAAGACACACACUCGCGCUCGCCCACCAACUCGCCCAUACGCCCGCACGCACUCCCGCUCAGGCCACCGCAGCACCAAGCCGGCCAGCCUGCCGCUGAAGCGCGGCAUGCUGCACUACGCGCACAGCCGCAAGCUGCCGGUGCAGGUGGGGCAGGUGGCGUUGUGUGGGGCGCGGCAGAGAGAUGCGCACACACAAACCAUGGCGCGCACGCGUUCAGUUCACCUCAACACCGAUCGUGUGCACGCGGCAGUAUGUAGAUGUCAAGAUAAAUGAAGUCGAUCUGCCGCCCUGCUGGUAUUGCCCACGGGUUCGUUUGUUGCGCUUCCCUCCUACCCUCCUUGGCCCUUGCUGUUGGCUUGCAGAUUGUCGUGACUCGCGGCAAGGACGAGGUGCUGAGUGAGAAGUCGCAGUCGGUGCACUUCGGCCGCACCUGCGUCACCACCUUCUCCAAGGUGAGCCAUACGAACUCCAACGCUGGGAUUGCAGGCACUGCGCCACGGCCGGCACUGCGCCACAGCCGCUCCAUGCGGCGAGCGCGCAAACCGCCGACUCCGACGCACGCGCCCGCACACCCGCCCGCCACUGCCGCAGGUGCUCAAGUCGGCCGACUACCCCAACUUUGAAGCCUUCUUCACGGACCUGCAGGUGCGAGGGCCCCUGUGCUGCGGAGCGCAUGCGCUCACGUGCACCACGUGUUUGAAUCGCAUCUGCGACGCCCUGGGACCUACAUCAGCACGACACGCACCCGUGCCUGCUCGCCCACCGCAGGCGACCUGGGACUCGUGCUGGGCAGCCACGUACGGCCUGGAGGAUCUCAAAAGUGCGUGUGCGGGCGCGUGCUUAGUGCCAUAGGAAAACCGCGAGUCGGCGCGAGUGUGCCCGGCUCUUGGCGCCUACCUAGAUGCCGCUCAGCUCCGUCUCACGUGCCGCAUGUCCGGUGCUGUGGCACAAGCCCACCUGCCCCCCGUCCCCACCCUUCGGCUGAGCCUCCACUCCAGCCCUUCCUUGGCCUCGGUUGGCCUCGGUUAACCUGCGCUCAGCUUGGAUUUUCCUUGUUUUAUGGUGUACAAACACACACGCCGCGGCCCUCCGCGCUCUCUUCUUCACACACACAGACGUGCCGCGCUUCUCCAUGCCGGGGCCCCAGGCCUACAGCUACAGCUCCAGCAUGUGGGUCCAGCAGCUCGCCAUCACGCUGGUCAGCAUCCUAGUCUUUGCGGGCGUGUGCUACGGCUCCUGGCGCGGCUUGGCGGCGGCGCUGGCGGCGACCGGCGCGGCGCAGCAGGUGCGGCGCACGCGGGCCUGUCCGUCCGCGUUGCGGACAGAGGCGGGGUUGCUGGCAUGCCAGCCAGCCUGCACACGCAGCACGUCCAUCUGCCCGUCCGUUCCUGUGAAUGCCUGGUUAUCCCCUGUGGUGUGUGCAGUAGUGCAUGCGUACCCGGCGUGCUGAGUGAUGCGCACCCUUGGAUACCUGUUCCCCCCAUGCGCAGGUGGUGGCACUGGUGCUGGCGGCCUGGGUGGGCAGCUCCGUGCUUCGUAGCUUCCUCUAGAUGGAGGGGCAAGCCUCUGAACUCUGUGCGGCGGUGAGGCUCUGAGAUCGCGAAUGUGGGGAAGACCUACAUGGCGGCUGGUUGAGGUUCCAGAGAGCGAUAUGGCGGAAAGAAGUCAAAGUGCAAGUUGUCAUAAAGUGCAGCUGGGCAGGCUGGGCGUUUGGGGGUGGGGGUGCGGUGGGGAGGCUGCUGCAUGGACUCGCUGCUUGAGUGCAGCUAGCGGUACAGGUGUUCAAUAGACGGACUGCUGGCGGGAUGCCUGCCUGCGCCUCUGGUGCAUGCAAGCUGCAUGAAAGUGGGUUACGAACCCGACUGUGCUGGCGCAAGUGCGGCAAGGACGCACAGACACAUGGUUACACAAUGUGGGGUCGUUGCCGAUUGUGAGGCAACCUCCUUGAGUACAGUCACCGUGAGUACAGUCAAGAGCCGGUCACCACCACAGGGCAUGCCCUUGAUUGGCAUCGCACCACAAACUGAAAUUGUAUACCUUAGUAUCUCUCCGUGCGUGCGGGUGCGAGGCGCGUUCUGAAUGCUAAGCGCUACGCACGCAUGUGUAGCCUGAAGAGUGUGCGAGCGUGUGUGUGCAUCAGAUGUGAGGCAUCUACCGUGAGGGUGAAGUGUGCGGCAGGGGUUAGGCUCCGACAUAGGUGCCGGCAAGCCGCGGUAGAAGUACGGGCCUGUUGCCAUACGUUGCAUUUUGCCAGCAAUCCAGCGAGCGCUCGGGCGGGCGAGGGCGCGGCUUGAUGGCAGUAGCCCUGCUGGCGAGUGACGUAUGCGCCGCCCGUUGUAAAUGGUCAGUGGUAAACGCGCCGCCUACUUGCGCCUCUGCCAAUGCAUCUCGGCUGUGCACAAUCGCGAAAGCCCAGCCCCGCGGCCGCGCAGCAGGAGAGGGCCAGCCACCGGCCACGUCAGCCCCACCCCACAGUUGCCAUGCAGGCGCAGCCGCGUAGCCAUGGCCACCGCCUGGCCGUGCCACUCCAACGCGCCCGGGCUUGCGGCUUCGGCUGUGGCCACCGCUUGGUUGCGGCAAUGUGGCUGCGGCAGUGUGGCCGCACCGCCCGUCAAGGACGACCCGGUCACUUGGCAGCUAGCGUGUAGGACCAGCCCGGUAGGAGCCCGGUAGGAGCCCGAUAGGAGCCCGGGAGAAGCGGUUCAGGCGGCUCCGGACUCGGCACAGGUAGGUGCAUGGCUGCAUGCACCCAAGGAGCCCCGACGGCUCCGGGCUCAGCGGCGCUCAGUGCAGCAGGAUCUGGACCCACUUCUUGUCCUCAUCCGUCUCCUGCGUACAUGAUACCGGAAACAACAACGACACGUGUCGUCUGUGCGCCUGUCCUUGUGGUGCAUCCCAAUGUCCUGAGACACCAAACCCCAGCAUGCCGACGGGAUUCCGAGAUUCAAGGGGUCACCGAGGUGGCGGCGGUUCCUGCUCCAGCACGUGCGGCCCGACGUGGCGCUCCAAACACGUUCUCCCCCCGACCAUGUGCCCCUCGACACGCAAGACGUCGGCGUGUCAACGCUGUAAAGUUUAGUUGCCACCUCUCCUCCCAGACAGUUUAUCCCUGCCCUCGCAGGCCAGUCCCGCGCCUUGCACCCACCUGGCUGCUCCAGCCAAGCGCGUCCCUCAGCGCCUCCAUGCGUGCUCGGUUGGGCGGCCCCGAGAUACAGCCGGGCGUGUAGCAGAAGGGCGGCGACGGGAUGUUGACUCCGGCCUCCGACCUGCGCGGGUGUAACGAAAACAGGGGUGCGUCUCAGAGCAGCGGGGAUAAAGGCACGGUGCCACAGACGCGCAGGAGGAGGGCGCGACACGGUUUGGGCAGGACACAGCGCCAUGGACAAGGGCCGCGUGCGCAGGACGCAGCGGAAGACGUAGACAGGUAGGCUGGGUUGGUGGACAGAACCGGUGACCGGUGUCAGUCCUAUAGCGACGAGCCGAGUCCGGCCGCGGCCCCCAGCCCCCGACCCCUAGCCCCCUGCCCCCAGUCCCCAGCCCCCGGCCACCGUACCCCAGGCUUCACCUGAACGCCACUGCCACGUCUGUGAAUUUGAACUCCAUCAGGUCUACAUCGCUCUUGCCUGUGUGAGCCAAGCGUAGCAGCAUGGGGAGUGUGUGGGGUGAUGUGUGGGGUGUGAUGUAUGUGCAUGCAGUGCGAUGAAAUGCUGCUUGACAUCACGUCCUGUAGUGCGGUGCAUGCGUGCAUUCCCGUGAGCGGCGGACUGGGGGAUGUGGGGAGCGGUCCAGGGGUCGUGAGCAAUGCCGCGCUUACUGCAUCGCCUGCAUGGGCCAAAGCAUCCACCAGCACUCACUUGCGCACCCACCGUGCCCGUCAACUCUCCCGCACACGGACAUAUAAUCACCACUCUCCGCCCACACGACCGCCCUUUGCGCCAUCCAGCGCACCCGCCCUGCAACCGGCGUGGACUACGGCACCCGUGUGCCAUCGCCAUUCUCCACCCACCCGCCCGCCCGCCGCGCCCGUACGGCACCCCGCAUGCCCACCUGCACCUAGCUUGUACGGCACCCUUACUGCCACGUAGCCACGGCCCUCGUCCUCGCCCACCACCUGGCCACCCCGGGCCUCGACCAGCUCGUCCAGAAGCUGCCUGGAAUGUGCGGUCGGGGGUUUGACAUGUUGACUGGGUUUGACGAUGUUGACAUGGCUUGGGUUCAAGUGCCAACUAGCUAUUAUAACUCAUAAGGUGACACUUUGCUUCACCUGUUUCAUGGCGCACACACAGGGGCCGAGGCGCGGCAAUGCGGCAGCGCAGCGGGUGCGACCAUGCCGUACGCUGUCCCAAGCCUCCAGCCCAUGUGGUAGUGGCCGCAUGCGCGCCCCUGCCAUACCCCCACGCCACCCCACGCCCCCGGCUAACCCCUUCCAUCUCGGUUUCAUGAGGAUGGCGCAAACAAAUGCAUCCCACCCGUCACUGACUACCCCGACCUUGCCUUUUGGCAGCUGCGGGGGUCUUGGGGUCGAAGCUCCAAGGCGCCAGGUACUGUGACGGCGACAGGAAGUUGGCAGAGGAGACGCAGCUGCGAGCAGGGGCAGGAGGGAGGGAGCAGGCGGGGUGGUGCCGACGCUCUCAACUGCCAACCGUGGUCAAGACACACGUGAGCAACACCAGAGGGCUGGUGUGUGUGUAAAGAGACACAUAGUCUGUGGAGUGGGGGGCGCCGUGCCCAGGGGGGACCACUGCAUGACGGUUGUCCUCACCUGGUUUUGGGCGCGCACGGCAGGAGGCGCCCCUCGCCGCCGGCCGUAUCCAAAUGGAGCCCCACCUGCCGGGACCAGGGAACAGCAAGGCAGCGCUUGAGGCUGAGGCAUCGGGUUCGGUUCCGGGCCUCAAAAGGAGACAGGGGCCAGUGUGCGGGUACCGUGACACGCUCCAGACACCCCCGCUUUUGGCGGGAGGAAAGCUUUCCGCCUCCACCCGCCCAUCAACGUUUGCCCAGUGCAUUCCCCCACCCCACAUACUCCGUGGUGUCCCCAGUGCACACCUGAGCAGCGUGUGCUGCCGCCGGCAACGCAAGGCCGGCCCCAGUCAAAACUAGGGCAGCCAGAGUUGAAGGGACCGCAGUGCCCCUCAGGUCACAACAGGUAGGAAGUGAUAGAAAUCUCUGUUUACCAUUGGCCUUACAGGGACCGGUUGCUAAAAGACGCAUUUCGCAAAUCUUGACUCUUGGGACGGCGGAGCAAAUCCGGCGCUGUUUGCGAGGAGCUUGUAAUUAUUACAUAGAUAAAGCACGCUCAUACACGAACUAAACGUUUGUCCUCUGCCAUUGGGAGCGCGCUUUUUGAUGAAAGUUUUCUCUUCCAGGCCCCGUCAACGCUUUCUCAUAUUCCAAGCGUAUUGCUGUAGGGCUCUAGGGUUGUAGUUUGCAAGGAGUUUGGGCAGAAGGGAUGGAAGCCCUUUCAUAAUUGUUGAGUUUGCCUUACGCGGUCUAGACGACUAGGCCUGGUGGAAAUGGACCUGCGACAAGCCGUUGGUGGGCAAACAUGGCGCAGAGUGCAGCCGUUGGCCCCGCCCCGCGCGAGGGCGCACGUCCACGGCUUUCCGCACAGUGUUAGCAGCACGCUUCCGACGAGGACCUCGGCACGCAUCGCUGCAACAUGCUCAUCUGCGGCAGUUGGCAGCCUUGUUUCGACCACUACGGCAGCGGAGCAGGCAGCGGCGCUGUUCGAGGACCAUGCCUCGCGGCGGAGCGCGAAGCUCGCUGAGGCGUGUUCCAUCUGCCCAGCGGUGCUGCAGACGCGUCUAUCAAAGGCGCACUCGAGCGCUGUGUCUGCGGCGUUGGUCGUCCAGGACACGCUGGGUAAGAAACGAGCGCUGACCCGCCAGCCCGGGUUUUGCAUAGCUGACGACGCGACCCCUGCAACUUGCGCAGAUGAGAAACUGGUCGUCACUGCUUCGCUGGACAAAGGCGUUGCCGCCUGGCGCUUCUACACGGUGAGCGCGCUCAUAGCGACCGUCGGCAAUCUCCACCAACGUCAAGCUAAAACAGGGUCACCUGUUGAGCGACUGGGGUCGCGUGGUGCGAUCAUGGUGCAUGGCUAGACCUGACGCUAGCCUCUCCGCGCUCCUGCUCGGCUUCGCUUGCAGGCCGGCAGCGUUGAUGGCGCGCAGGGCUCGGUCGACGAGUCUAUCGAGGUCACGAGGCUCAAAGUGCCGGGGGCGCCGGUGUUCUCGCUUGCAAAGAUUCCCGAUGUGAAACCUGACGGCACCGUGGCGAAGCGUGUUCCGACCGGAAAGCCAUCGGGCAUCUAUUUGGGCACCGCCGCCAAGGAGGUGCUGACAUGGAUGCUUGGCUCAAAGGACGUCACAGACAAGGUGCGGGAAUGGUUUGUUUGACAUUUAAGGCGGGAGGUGCACCUGUUUCUUGGGGUUGGGGGGUGGGAGCCGGCGCGCGCGACCCCGCGCCAACGGCCAGGCGAGUCCUAGGGUUUCGUGCAUUUCGUUUUCCGUGGCAGGACAGGAUCAGGGUAUGACAUCCUUCUGAAUCCUCCCUCCUUGAACUUGACAGAUCGUGCUGAGCGGCCAUACCGGCUGGGUGCGCUCGCUUGCUGUUACCGGCAAGUGGUUGUUCAGGUGAGGCCGUGAGGCCUGAAAGGCGCACACAGGCGUGGAGCUGAGCGGCGUGUUUUCAUCGACCUGCUGGCCCUCUGCAGCCCCACCUAACACGCACUGCCCCAACCCCUCCCAACACGCACUGCCCCAACGGAACCCUCACUUCCCCUCCUUGGCUCUGCACCACGCAGCUGCGGCUGCAACUUCCUCCGGCUUUGGGACACGACCUUCCGCACACCCAAGGAGAGCGAUAGCGUGCGCCUGUUCACCGGGGACAUACUCGCCAUAGCCGCCAGCCAGGGGCAGGUGCGGCGGGAGCGAGUCUGGAGGCGGUGGUGUUGGGGGCGAGGACGGGGGGCCGGCAACUUGGGCCGGCCGAGGCAGCAAAGAGCGUCGCCCUUGCGUGCCACGAGCCGGACCGGGGGUCGUGUCACUCGUUGUUCUUCUCGUGCAUACACACACGGUGCGCGCUUUUAUGCAUCCACAGGUGUUCACGGCGGGCGCGGACGGCUCGCUGCGCUCCUGGACCAUCAGCCGGAGUGGGGAGCUGGAGGCGGGGCCGGCGGUGGAGAAGGCGCACGAGGGGCGGGUGGUGGCGUGCCUGGUGUCUGAGGGCCGCGUGUACACGACAUCGUACGACGGGUCCAUCAAGGUGCGUGCAUGGGCUGCGCAUGCACACAUGGGUACGACAGCACACGGCUGCGCAGGCUGCACGUCCGCAAGCUUGCUGACGCACAGGGCAGCACAUGCACGAUAGAUGGGCUGCGUGCAUUAGGCAAGUGGAAGGGGAAGCAGGGUCUCGGCCCUGUUGGCCUCCUUGCCCGGUCUCCUGCCCAUCUGUCCCUGCCCCCAACGCCACACCUGACGUCCACCCCACACACGACCCGGUGCCCAACGACGCACAGGCCUGGUCCGCCUCCGGGCUGCAGCUGCUGGCGGAGGUGCGGGGCGCGCACGGCGGCGAGAAGGUGCUGGCGGCGGCGCUGGGCGUCAACGGAGUGCUGUUCACCGGCGGCGACGACAAGGUGGGCGGGUGGAAGGGAGUUGUGAGGACCAAAGCCCAACACUGCCGGGCGGAAGGGUGGGCACGGCGGCCACCAUUCCUGCGCCUACUAAAAAUACGGUACCUAGGCUGGCGCCCGUUGACACGUAUCCCGCCCGUUGACACGUAUCCCGCCCCGACUAACCAACCCGUUUACCACCACCGCCCAACAGAUGGUGCGGGCUUGGGCGCCCAGCAGUCUGGCGCCGCUGGGGCCGCCCAUGCAGGCGCACGGCGCGUCCGUGCGCGUACUGGCCGCCGGGCGCCGCGGAAUCCUGGUGUCGGGCGACGCCGACGGCGACGUGUGCAUCUGGGGCGUGUGCGACGUGGAGCUGCCGCAGGAGCAGCCCGAGCCUGAAGCGGCGGGCGCGGCGGCGGCGCUGGGCGCGUCGGCGGUGGCGGGCGCGCAUGACGGGCUCGCGAACGGCUGCGCGGUGGGCGUGGCGGUGGCGCCGCCGACGCUGCAGCAGUUGGAGGACAUGUUCGCGGCGCCCGCGCAGUCGGCGCAGGAGCAGCAGCAGCAGUACCUGGAGGUGCCGCAGCAGCUGCUGCAGGAGCAGCAGCAGCAGCAGACGGAGAUGCCGGAGGCGGCCCCGGCCGCACUGGCGGUGUCCGCGGCCAGCGUCGAGCCGUGGGUUGACCUGCCUCAGCCAGCAGCCGCGCCGCCAGCGAUGGCGCCGGCUGUGGACGCGGCGGUUGCGGCGCCCGAGGAGGUGUGGGCCAACGGUCAAGUCAACGGCCACGCUCAGGCACCAGCACAUCUUGACGCCAUUGCUGUUCCGGCGGUGGAACCAGAGCCGGUGCCGGCAGCAGCGGUGGCGGCUGAUGCCCUGAUAAGCCCAGCGCUGGAGGCAGUAGAGGCGGCGCCGCAGGACCUGAACGGCCACGUGAACGGUCAUGUGAAUGGCCAUGCGAACGGCCAUGUCAGCGAGUACGUCAACGGCCACGCGGCGGCCGUUGGUGUAGUUGCGCCGCCGGCGGCGGAUUGCGACUGGACCCGGCUGGACGGCGCCGCCGCCGCUGCUGUCGCUGUCGGCGCCGCGGCGGCACCGGAGCUGCUGCCAGUGGAGGCGCCCCCAGUGGCGCCUGCGGCAGCCGAAGUGGUGGUGGCGGCGCCAGCGCCGGCACUUGUGGUGGCGAUGCUCCCGCAUGUGGAUGUGGAGGACGUGGCGUCAGCCGUGGCAGUGGCCGUGCUCACCAAGGAAGCGGAUGCACGUGCGGCCGCUGCGGCGGCAGCAGCAGCGGCCGCCGCCGCCGCGGAGGCAGAGGCUGAGGCGGCGGCUGUCGCGGCCGCCGCCGCUGCAGCCGUGGCUGCGGAGGCUGAGGUGGCGGAGGCCUCGCUAGCGACCCUGGCGGCGCAAGCCGUGGCGCAGGCGGCGGCGGAGACUUUGCAGACCCUGGCGGCCGCGCCAGUGCAGGAACAGGCGGCGGUGGCGCUUGACACAGCGGCACCCGCUGAGGCGCCGGUGCCUGCGGCGGCGGCGGAGGCGACAAGGCAGCAGGCGGCACCAGCAGUGCAGCAGCCGCUGCAGCAGCCGCAUCCGCAGCAGUAGUCGUCAGCAGCAACCUUGCUCAACCGUGAGAGAACUGCGCGCGUAUUGCGCGCCCACGGGUCCGCAUUUUGCGGGCGCAUGGCUGUCCGUGGGUGGCGCGCUUUCAGGCCGUGCGUGGCCUCAGGAAAGUGCGUUGCUCGGCGGUGCCAGUCGCUGCGCCCGGGUGUGCCCGCCAGCAUGUUUCGAGGAGAGCUCAACACGUUGAAGCGCCAUCGCAAGAUCAUUGGGGGACACCCACGACCAGCAGUACCGGGUUGCGGCCAUCCAAUGAUUGAUGAUGUGCGAUGCAGAUUUUAUCGCGCGAAGCUCAGAAACAGGAGCCCGCUCCAACGAGUGGCCGCACGUGCUGCCUUUAUACUUGCGAGCCAGCUUGCAUCACACAUCGGCGUGUGCGAAGCAGGGCGAUGUUGCUGUUCCUCCGCCUGAGCGGGGGCGUGGGCCGAGCGGAGAGGCGUGGAGCGGCCACGUGCACCAGAGACGUUCGCAAGACACAUAGUUAAUCGUAGCUUCCUUCCCAUCAAUGGCAUUUGUCCAGCAUUGCGUCUACGCACAUACCGUAUACACUUAGGUAGCAAGCCACUUUUGCCUUUGUUGCCUUUCUGAUGUGGGGCAAGCGGACGAGCCAAAAGACGAAAGCCCUGUUGUUUGGUUAUUAGUCGGUCCAAGGGGCCCUCGCCCUUCAGCCGUGUCUGGAAAGCGUUUCUUGGGGCUGGAGGAGCCGACUGAGUUGUGUCUGGACCUUUGUGGCAGAUAAGGCUCUCGGCAACCAAGCCUGCAGUGCAAAUACUUUCGUGCCGGGUCAUCAGUAGUCCUGUGCUCGGCAAGGCUUGUGCAACUAGGAAAUCGAGGUGCGGGCAGCUUGCCGCCUGGUGUCAUCUUGGCGCCGGCAUCUGUGUACGGCCUUUCUGGGCCGGGUUCCAAGGAGUUGGAUGUGGGUGUGGCGACUUUGCAUGGCGCGGAGUAAUGGCCACAGCGAGGCGCGGAAAUGCAUGUGUGUGUGUGUGUGUGUGUGUGUGUGUGUGUGUGUGUGUGUGUGUGUGUGUGUGUGUAUGUGUGUGUGUGUGUGUGUCUCGCGGCUGGGGGACGCGGAUAUGUCGGUGUGCCGCUGAGUGACCGUGGGCGUGUAGUGUGUCAGGUGUAUCAAGUGUGUGCGAGUUUGCUUAGGCAUGGGUACGUAGCAGGGUAGGCCAGCAGCAGAUGAGCAGGAGGUCGCAGUGUGUCAACUUGUCGUGUGGCCGGCAGAGCGCAGCCCGCGCACCCGAAAGUGGGGUCAAAACAAAGGGUCGAUAUAAGCAUGUGUAGCACGGCUAGCCGUCGUGUUGGGAGGCCUUGCGCUCACGGUUUGGCUGCGGGUGCGAUGACCCGAAUGCUAGGGUCGAUGUUGGGCAGCAGCGGCGGUGUUUGUCGCCGUGACUUCGCCCCUGCCGGCUCGCCUGGGGUUCACGCCGUGCAGGCGCUCUGAGAGCAAGCAGAGAGGACCGAUAAACGCGCUAGUGUUUGUUGCUAUGCGCGGGGGCGGCAACAGCGCCCGUAGGCUGAUUGAGGGAGUGUUGAGGGAAUACGGAAGAAGCCAGAUAGCAAGCAGGAUAGGACCGCGACACUCUUUGGAAGGCGAAGUAAGGGCAAAGCCAGAAUCCCGAUGUUACGAGGGUGGGUUGAUGCACGUACACAACAGUCUUGCGUCCAUGUGCAAAGGUUUCAUAAUAUUUUGGUCAUCUGUCGGUCAAAGUUGUGGUGAUGGCGUUUGAUGUAAUUGUUGAUACGGUAUCAAGUUUGGUUGUUGGGUGGUGGUGUUUGCAGAGAGAAAGCGCUGAUGACGAAGAAGCAACAAUCGGUGUGAGCUGGUGUACACUAUAGAUCUGCGAGACGAUCAGGCGAGACUGGCUGGCGCCUGGGCGAGUGAGAAAGCCGCUGACUGCAGAUGCCGGAAAUUGGGAGGCAUACCGCAGGCGUUGCGGAGGCGGGAAGGAACCCACAAGCGUGGGAACGGAAGGCGGGAAGGGCUGUGCUAUGCCAUAUGGAGGUAGCGCAGUGAACAGUCACAGGAAGAAGAAGAAAGUUGGCGUUCCCUGUUUGCUUUCACCGGCUGCUUAUGGUGGCGCGGUGCGGGUUGUGGUCAGGGCACUGGCUGGGAAGGCGCGUACUCAACAUGUCAAAGUUGUUGUCCAGGAACUGGCGGCUGUGGGUGAGUGUGCGCUGCAAAAUUGUGAGGUUUAGGCGCGAUAUCGUACAAUCAUCGUCUACUGAUUCCAACUAUUAUAGCGGCGGAUAAGCAGGACAUCCAAGGUAUUCCAUAAGGUGCGGUGGCAGAAAAGGCUUCCAGUACUGCAAGGCUGUUUCGGCAGCGAGAGGAGAACGGCACAUUGCUGAUGCGGCGAGUGGCGAUUGGGAUCGGGAGCUGUAAGGAGCCCGACAGGCGAACUUGCGGCGUGGGUGGACCCUACGCCCCCAAGGCCCGGACUGCCCAAAGGCUACGGGCCGCCAUAGGGUAGGCAGACUGGCAGACGGAGGGACAAACCAAGUCACCAACGUCAUUCAUUGACAGUUGAAUGGCGGCAGGCGGAGGGAGGCCAUAAGAUAAUGUGAGAUGGGCAAAGUCUGCAGCGCAUCGCGCCGUCUCUGAGGCCAAAGCACUGCCACGCUCUACCAGCUGGCGGUGCUGUGACCUACCAAUUUCUAUAGGCACGCUCAGGCACCGCCGGCGAGUGUCCGCUCGGUCCAGCGGCAAAGAACGGUUACAACAGCGCUUGCCGCAUAAUAACCUGCCUCAACCCAUACUACCCGCGAUGUGUGAGUACUCCCAACAUCCAAUACACCUGAUGCAUGGGGACACGGACCCGUGCUGCCAUCCGUGCUGCAAACGGCACGUCUCGUCCCACGGCUUUGGGCCCGCGCUGUGCUAUCACCGCUACGCCGGGCCUUACUACACUGCAAGCAUCAAACCAUCCCAAAUCACAGGCCCACAUUUCCCCAGCCCCUGCUCGGAUUUGGGAUUUAUUUCACCACACCGAGGCCCGCCGUAUUCUUGUGGGAUAUCGCCCUGGUAGGGGCUGGGCCUUCACCACCAACACGCCCCUUCGCCUGCUUCCACGCCCGCAGCGCCCACUGCUACCCCUUGCUCUGGCUCCUGCUCCCUGGCAGGGGCCUGCAGCCGCGGCUACAGCCCCUGCCACAAUCCCAUUCGCUGACUUGCAGCCUCUGCCAUCGCCCCUUCUGCUACCCGCCCUUGCUACAGUCCCUUCUGCUACUGCGCCUGCUGCUGCAUGGCUGCCAUACGUGCCUUGAGCGCCAGGAUGUCUGCCCCCAGCACCACACCCGACCCGCCAGACGUCGCAGACGCCAGGCUUGACGACGUUCCCACCAGCCCCAUCAGCCCGCCCGCCACAGCCCCGGCAGCCUGCACCGCAAGCGGCGCCGCAGCUGCAGCCGCGUCCAGCGCGGUGGCGAAGCUGCUGCCGCCAACGCCAGUGUUGCUGUUACCGCUGCCGACGGCACCGCCCGUCAUGCUGCCCAAAACCUGGUCGAUGCCACGAGACCGCGGCGACAGCAGCAGCCCCAGCGAGUGCUUUGCCAAGCCGUUGGCAGCCGCCAUCGGGCUGGUAACAGCGGCGUCAUCGCCCCGAAAUUCCAACCCCUUGCUGCCGCCGCCGGCGACGCCCGCCGUCGGCGCCGUGGUCUUGACAGGGCUGAAGAAUGAGGUGGCGGGCGGCGCCGCCGCUGUCGAGCCGACGUCAACGUCAGCCAUCAGAACGUCGUCGUCAUCGAAGCUGUCCGCCGUCAGCAGCGACGCCAGCGCCAGCCUGGCACUGCCGCCGCCGUCCAUCUGGGCCUGCCCGGCAGCAGCGCCAGAGGGGAAAGCGCCCACGGCUGCGCCGUGCUGGUUCGCGGAUGGCUGAUGGUGCUGCCGCACGGCCGCGGCCGCGAGCUCGGCGGCGGCUGCGAGCGCCUCGUCAUCUGACCCAUCCAGCCCGUCACCACUGUCCAGCCCCCCACCAAAGGCUCCGAAGCCGCCAAACCCGAAGCCGCUGCCGCCGCCGCCGUCGUUGCCAUUGGCAUCCUCGCUGCCGCCGCCGAAGGCGGCGCUGUGCACCGUCGCGCCAGCCAGCUCGCCAGGACCGCUCCUGCCGAAGCCGCUGCCUCCGAAGCCCAAAACCAGGCCGCUGGCGUCCUCCGCUGCACCACCGAAGCCCUGAGCGCCGAGCCCCAGCCUCCCGCCCAGCCCAUCAGCGCUCACUCCUGCCGGCGCCGGAGGCGCCGGCGCCGAAGGCGAGUGCCGCACGGACGCGCCUGAUGGCGACAUCGCGGUCGUGCCUGCGCUGCCCGCAGCAGCUGCCGGUGCCGGCGGCGCCGCCAUUCCAGACGACGCCCGGAAUGCAGCAACUGCCGCCGCCAUCGCCUCAAACGUGGUCGGCGACUGCGACACAGCGCCGGCGCGGGGCUGAUGCGCAGAGCCCGGCGACGCGCCUACGCCGCUGCCGCUGCCGCCGGUCAGCUUCUGCAGCCGCGCCUGCAGCGCCGCCACCUCGCCGCUGAGGGCCGAGGUGCUGGGCGACGCCACCGGGUGCUGAUGCAGUUGCUGUUGGGACAACCGCGGCGAGUGCAGGCCCGGGGCCCCAACACCGGCACCGCCGCCAAAGCCCUCCAGCCCUCCCGCACUGUGGGACUUGGCGCGCCCCACAGGGCUCGCAGCGGCGCCCUGCCCGCCCACCGCGCCUGCUCCCACCCCUGCGCCGAAGCCCGCCCCGGCGCCGGCCUCAGACAGCGAUGCAGCGGUGCGGCCCCGUGCCGCCGUGAGCAGUCUGGGCGGCAGGCCGAGCAUGAGAGUGCCGCCGUCAAGCCCAAGCCCCAGCUCCAGGCCCUGGUCUGCGGCUAUGUCCUCAAAGCCCGCCAGGGCCAAGCCCUGACUAGGAGAGGCGAGCCCAGAGGCGAAGGCGGCGCCGCCAGUUCCUGUGUGGAGGAUGCUGUCGUCGUCGUCGUCGAGGUACUCGAAGGCCGAGGCGGGCGGCCGGGAGCGCGGCGGCGGUGCCGAUGGCUGGUGCGGGCAGCGCGCGCGCAGGGCCUCCAGCGUGGGCUCUGUGUGGAAGGAAGGAUGGGAGCUGGGGCGAUGAUGGGAGUGCGAUGGGGAUGUACGUGCAGUCUCUUGCUCCCACCCCACACAUGCGUGCCCCUGCCAUCCCAUUCUGCGCUGCCGACGCAAGCCUUACGCUUCGUCCGCGCCUCUGCAACGUUCUCUGCCCAACCCCUGACCGCACUUACCGUAAGCGGCCGCCUGCUGCCGCAGCGCCGCCGCCUGCGCCGCCAUUUGCCGCGACGCCGCCGUGUGCACCUGCGGCGCGUGAUCACACGAAACGGGUGUGUAGGUUGCCGAGCUCAGUUGAGGAAUACCGAAGAGCAAAGACACCCUGCUCACACGAGGGCGCUUGCCUUGCGUGUUGCGGCGAGUGCACUGGUGCAUUCCGCAAGAAACGUCACAUGCUUUAUCUUGAUAGGCUUAAACUCCCAUCCCGCACACACUACCACGUAGACACACACACGAACAUGCGCACCUGCAGCUGGUGUGCCACGUGCGCCGCGUGGCUGCUGGGCUGGCUGGGCGGCUGCAGCAGCGGCGGCGGGCCUGCAUGGUGGCAAGAGCGGAUUGCAAGGGGCGGGAAGGUCGACUGGUUGAGAGGCUGACGUGUGACACGUGAAAGGGCACACUGGUCAAGGAUCAACCACACUGGUACGCCUCGCUCCAUCCCCGUGCAUAAUCGCCUCCUCCGCUCCCUCCCUUCGCCCCAUCCCGUCCCCGCCCCUCUCCCCCUUCUCCCUUCCCCUCCUUCCCGCCCCGCCCCGCGCCGCCCCGCCCCGCCCCGCCCCUGCCCCCGCUCACCCGCCGCCUCGCCCGCCAUGGCCAGCUGGCUGACGUGCGGCGCCAGGCUGCCCAGCAUGGACGCAAACAGCUGCACCGCCAGCACGAUCUGGUCCGGACCCGGAGGCGACACAGCAGAGGGCCGGGAGCCAGCCGGCGGCGUGGGCUGCUGCUCCGCACCGGCAGAGCCGAUGGUGGUGGAGGUGAUGGUGGAGGUGGAGGUGCCGAGGAGCCCGGCCGCCGCGCGGGCGGCGAUGGCACGGAGCUCAGCCCCGUCGACCUGGUGCGGGUGCAGCACCUGCUGCUGCUGCUGGGCGCCGCUUCCGGCUCCAAUUCCGGUGCUGGGCGCAGCAGCGGUGGAGUGGUCCCCCAGUUGCCGCCGCGGCACCGCCUCCUGUAGGCCUUGUAGAGGCUGCUGCUUCGGCGCCCGCUCCUGGCCUUGUGUGCCCGUCAUGAGCGCCUUGGCCAGCUCCGUGUGGUCCGUCAGGUGGCCGUCCAGACCUGACAGCAUGCCCGCCAGCUGACGCAGCUGAGCCGACUGCCGCGCCGCCGCCGCCGCCAAUGUGGCAUCGGCGUCAGUGGCGGCUGCGCCGCCACCCGAAGGGCGGUCCGCCAGUGGGCUGCGGCCGGCUGCGGCCGCCGCCGCCGCGGCCUCCGCCAUGGCCACGGCGGCGGGACUGCGCUGCACGCCGGGACUGCUGUUGCCGUUGCCGGCGGUUCCACCGCCGCUGCUGGCCGCGCGGUUCUGCAGCGGCGUCUGCUGCCGCGGCAAGGCGGCGGCUGUGGAAGCCUCCAGUCGCGCCUUGAUCUCCGCCUGUGCAUUCGCGAGCGGUUCGCAGGACACCGUGACCCUUCAUGCAUGCGCGCAUCGCAGGUGUCCCACCGCCCGGACUUUCCUAUAGCAACAACAGCUCCAUAACAUCUAUCGGUCAACGCCAAGCCGACAUACCCAAUGCCGUCCCUACAGCUGACCCACAGCCCCACAUGCCCCGGCGCCCGGCGCUCCUACCUUGGCCGCUUCGUGCUGCCGGAUGCUGGCCUGCAGGGCGUAGUAGGAGCGCUUGAAGCCGGCCGCACCCGCCUCCAGCGCCUCACACGCCGCCGAGCCGGCCGCGCAGGCGCCCAGGAAGGCGGCGGCGGCCUUACGCGACCGCGUCACGGCGUGGCCGAGCCGCAGCUCCAGAGGCAGAAGCUCCUCGGCGGGGCCGGGGCCGGCGCCGAUCUGCGUGGCGGGCGGGGAAACCAGGGUGAGGGGGUUGAGUGCGUGUGUGUGUGUUGUUGGUGCAUGCGGGGAAGGGCAUGCGGGGAAGGCAUACGGUGCGGUGGGCGAGAAGCGGGCGCACCGGGCGUUGAGGGGAGGUGGUGCCGCACGCAUGCAAACCCCUCGCGAGCGCACACCGCGCCUGUCUGAGUACAGCCCGGCAGUAUGGCGGGCCAUGUACGCUAGGGCUGCGUAUGCGGCGACGUGUGGGGCCUGUAAGCGAGCAGGCCCAUGCACACGCCGAUCCAUACCAUAUUGCAUCAACAUACCGCACAUUACCGCCCGGACAGGUGGACACGCACCUGCGCCUGGUCCGGGCAGCUGGCCUCCAGCUCCUGCUGCAGAGCCAGUGUGGACAGCUCAAGCAGCAGUGACGUCAGCCUGCGAGCACACAUUCACAUGUACUGCCGUGUUACGGAGCCGUAGCAACGGAAGACGCCGUCUCGAUUGAGCAGGUCGAGCAAUCCGGAGUAAGUUUUAGAGGGCCUUUAGCGCACUGGUGGACGUAGGGAAAGGGCUGAGCUAGCCCCAGCUCAUGGGGGGCCCAAUCAACGUGCCUGUUGGAAGUGUUGGUCUUCAAUGCAGACACCGGCAGAAUCACUGAAGGGUCCAAGCGGCCAGCGUCCUUCAGCUCUUUCGUCCAGUCGCCGAUCCUCUGAGGGUAGGCGCCAAGGACUCGGUAAGGAGGUAUGGAAGCACGUAAGCCAUCAGCGCAUUAACUGGUUCUGCAGUGCAGUCCCGGGGUCGGGGUGGCAGCUGGUUGGUGGCACCGACGGAGCGCUUCCCCACAGCCCGGGGAACCCUCCUCCACACUCUCCUCCCACCUGGUAGAAGGGCGUCUGCUGCACCUUGUCGAGGACUGGCCAUUUGUCCUUGAAAUCCUGUGAACCAUCGCGACAAGAAGAGUAGUUGCAGGCUUCCCGCGCCUCGUUCCAGUCCCAUACUCGAGGGCACCACGAGCAGCGCCGUCGUCGCACCUUUGACGCGCGCUGCUUUCCUUCUAUGAGAGUGAACAGCCUAUACAAAACAUGCUCCAGCGCCUUGUUGUUGCUCCGGCGAAAGCAGGUCGGCGACAGCUCAAACCCCUCCUGACGAAGCGCUAAGUGCAGACCUAGAAUACAGAAGUUUCUAUACAAAGCCGACUCGUCACUCGUGGGAACCUCCAGCUUAGCCGAGCUUGGCCCAGGUCUUUGCAUUUUCGCAAACCCGUCAAGACUAGACAAUGGUGUUGUUAUGACUACGUCAUUGUAUUAGUAUAUGUUGACCGUAUACGUAGUGCCUGGGCAGAAAGGCCUUGGCGGAAGAACACAGCCGAUUGACAGACGCUGGAUUUCUCUCCGUGUUUCCACAUAGCGCAACUCAGUGUCUUAUUUCAAGUUAAUUUAUAACUGGUUAAUUGGACUAGCUCUGUGAUUUUGCAAAUCUCAAUGACUUGCCUUAUUCACUGAUACGACGUGAGUUAGUGCAUAACAGGAACCUAGACGCAUAUAAAGCUGCUGGAUAGUGGAGCUGAGCUGGUAGCAGGUCAGAGAGGAGCUCCCUGGCCAUUUUGGGCCGCGAGGGACAUGGUGUCCGCAGCAGCGGAUUCGCAGGCUUUACAGGAGCUUAUAGCCGAGCUCAAAGCAUAUCCGGAUGGAAGCGACCUGUUGCUCACAGCCCUCUACACGGCAGCGUUCCACUACAGGCGCAGCACGAGUGGGUUGUCUGCGGGGUCCGCUGACCUGCGGGGGCGUCAUGCUGCAAAAGGGGGGGGGGGCAAUGACGGGCUGAAUCAUAAGCACGGCCUUGGUGUCUCAUGGAGAGAGCUAAGGCUGCAGCAUCGUUUUCCCACGUGGUGCGCCGCGAAAACGUCCGUGUAAUGUUCUCAGUACGCACGUCGGUGGUACCCGUGCCGCACGGCAACGUUUGACCGCAAAUCGAUGAGCCCCCACACCCGUAACCAUGCUCCCUUCGCUUCUUCCGUUGGCCCCCCCUUUUCCCUCGCCGCCCCCUCCUCCCAGUCUGCACGCCCUUCCCCAAUGAGCUCCUACCGCCCCUACCCGACACGAAGGAUAAGGACUUCCCAGCACUGCAGCGCGCCCUGGGCGCGCUACCCCCCGUCCAGGCCCUACUGUCAGGCGGUGGGCAGGAAGAGGUGCUGCGGCGGCUGCCGCCGGCGGCGCUGGGAGUGCUGACGUGGCUGCUGCUGCACCCCGCGCGGCGGCGGCACUUCGGUCUCGUGUCACUGGGCGAGAUGUUGCGGCAGCUGCGGCAGCGGGCGGGCGGUGGCGGGCUGGGCGGCGCCAGCGGCGGCGGCGGCAGCGGAGGCGUGAUGGGUGGAGUGGCGGCGGCAGGGGGAGGCGGGCCCAUGGUGUGGCAGGUGCCGGCGUUUGCGGGGCACAACUCGCCCACGUUCGUGCUGAGGGCGCACGACAGCCACACGCAGGUGUGUGCGGCUAAGCGGCUUCAGCGCCUGACUGGACUUUUGCACGCAUUGCAUCCAUCCAUUCAUCCAUCCCAUCUUCUGGAUCUCACACCGCCACUCGGACUCCACCCCUGCACUUUGGGGAUGGGGACUAUUGUCGCGUGCCACUCCGUUGUCAAGCAUAGGCCGCGCUUUCCUCCUCGCCCUAUUGCAUUUCUGUUCGGUUUCGUUUGGGCUGGUAUCUACAACCUCCCCCCCCCCCCGGCAUGCCUCCACACUCCCGCGCCUCAGGAGCCGUUCGCGCAUGGCGCCGUGGCCUACCACGGCACGCACCUGGAGAACCUGCACUCCAUCCUGCACGCCGGGCUGCAGAGCGGCAGCGGCACGCGGCUGCAGCGCACCGGCGCCAACUUCGGGGCGGGCAUCUACUUGUCCACCAACUACGACACGGCGUUCAGGUGGGGGCGGGGCGGGGCGGGGCGGGGCGGGGCGGCGCGGGGCGGGGCGGGGCGGGGCGGGGCGGGGCGGGGCGGGGCGGGGAGGGGCGGGGCGGGGGAGGGGUAGCUGAGCAGCUGGGUUCGGCUGGAAGUACAGCAUGGUAGGAGAUGGGCUGCUGGCGCAUGUGGUGCAAGCAUGCUGAGGCGCGGGUCGGAGAGUCUAUGAAUCGCGUGUGUAGAUGUGUCGGUCCGGAACAACCCUGGCAUGCAGCUCACGCUUUCCCCUCCCCUGACCUCGCCUUGCCGCAGCUUCUGCCAGCCCUGCCCCUCCUGGCCUCUGUCGCGCUUCGGCACCAAGCUGCGUGUGCUGCUGGUGUGUGAGGUGGACCUGGACCUGGUGCGGCAGGAGCGAGGCGCAGAGGCGGAGGCGGCGGCAGCAGCCAGCAGGUGUGCGGGGCGGGACGGGGGGUGUGGGGGGGGGGGUUGGGGUGGGCAGCUGGGGAGUGUUUGCCCCAGCCCAAAGCAAUACGGUAGGUCCGACUGGUCAAGGAAUCGUCGCCCAACCCAGAAAUGCAGUGGGGGCGGCGAUGAAUUGUGCCUGCUGUGCAGCUCAUCACCGGUGCAGUAUCAUUGGCCCCCCUCCAUCGCUAAGCGCCUCGCCCGCCCCCGGCCCCCUACUCCCCCACCCAUCCGUGCAGUGGUAGGACACCGCACUCACACGACGCCGCCAACGGCACCGGCGGCGGCGCCAGCAGCAGCGGGCCGCUCAUCCCCGGCCUGCCGGACACCUAUCUGCUGGUCCAGCGGAGCGACGCCGUUCGAAUCCUGUUUGUAGCGAUUUACACGGACGCGGCAGCGCCGCCGGCAGGCGCUGCCGGGGCCGGGGCUGGGGCCGCCGGGGCGGGCGGGGGCCCCGGGGCUCGGCGCGCAGGGCCGCUGGCGCGUGUCAACUGGUGUACGGUGAUGGUUGUGCUGUAUGCGGGAUUCCUAGUGGGCAAGGCGCUGCUGGCCGCGCUGAAGCAGCACCGGUACUAAACUGCUGACUCAACCAUCUUGAGGGCCCGGGCGCUUGCGAUGACGGGAGUGCAUGGCCACAUAAGCUGCGGGCAAGCCGUGGUGCCUGGCGCUGCAGCCGCACGCCACGCACGCCACGUAGCCUGGGUGAGCACAGCAUGGUUUGCUGCGACGCUUGCAGGCUGUGCAAGAUCGAUGAGGAGGGUUUUGUGUUCAGCAGGCGCAAGGUGAAGUUGGGCAGCCUGACGGAGCUGGCGGAGAAGGCGCGCAAGGCGAUUGUGGUGAGGCAGAAGAAGGAGGAGAAGGUGUGAAGGCGUAUGGCGGCCUUCUCGCCUGGGGCGGGCCGUGGACGAGUGGCGCUUUGUACAUUGAAUUGCACGUAGCCCGCGAGCCCUCCCACCCCGCCCCCGUUCCCUCCCUCUAAAAGAGCCCCUGCUGGGCCUGCCCGCCCGGUCUCCCUGUGUCCAUCGAGGACUCGCACUAAAUGGUUCCCAUCGUCCCUGGCCUUGAAACGGUGCGCAAAUGGAGAGGGGGGAGGGGCAAGCCGGGGUACUGCGUAGCUGUAGGUGUUUUGUAAAUGCCCGUGCCAUGCCGGCUACUUGUAAUACACCAGGAACCGAAAUCGUGCCCUCCUUCGACUUGUCCAUGGCACAGGCACUCGAGCAAUAACAGCGGGCAAGGGGCCUGUUCGGGGCAGCCGGGGUCCGGGCAGGGUCGGGGUAGGGUAGGGCACCUGGGCACCAGGUAGGGUAGGGAAGCCGUCGUUUGCGGCCGGGCGGAGUGCAAUCCGACUGCAUCCUUAAUCAAAUUCCACCUAGCUGUUUGCGGCGACCCUGUGCGCGCGACACUCCAGUCAAAUCAAGUUCGGUUUUGCGGCUCCUUGGGGGCGCGGCUUCAACGGGGGGCAAGAUCUAAUUCGAGUAAAUAUAUGCAGUUCACGCAAGGCAUGUCUACCUCAAUCGCAGCGCUGUGCGGAACCCCUGCACGCAAUGGACGACCGCAACGACUGCUCAUCAGAGUACCCAAAGCGCCUCAAGCCCUACCCCAGUACGUUGUUGCAACACAUACUUUGCAGAAGCCAAGGUAAAACACUGGAAAUGAAUCGAUUCCGUAAACGGGGUCCCGAAGAAUUCGACAGUGUACGUGCGCAUUAUUUAUGACACUGUAGCCAAGCUGCCGCGAAGACGCCACUGAGUAGAGUUAAUAGCGGACGUGCUUUCACGGUUGCCUAAGCGAGGCCGCUUGCGAAUUCACACUCGUGAACUUUGCCGACGAAAUUGCAGUUUUUGUCUAAGACGCUGUUGCCUGUGCUUCCACUCCAAGAUUCAUACCGCAAGCGCUAUUGCGGCUGUCGAGAUGGUCGACGGUGACAGUCGGUCGAAAAACGACGCGCGCGUGACAGAUGCCAGAAAACUUGGUAGGUGUGCUUGGAAUUGUACAUCAUAGAGCACUUGCUUGGAAUUAUCACCUUUGUGCCUGCGACAUCUCAACUGCCGGAGCGCGUCGGGUUUUCGGUGCCUCGGACUCCAGUGGCGCUCGCAACCCUGAUAACCGCACAUUGUCAAAUAACGUGUGUGUCUGAAACUUACAGGGAGGGAUUGAUAGAGGGAUUUCUCGCAAAUGAGCAGCUCGCCAAAGCUGACUGCGGCAGGGCCGCGACCAAGCUGAGUCUUGACAACAACACACACGGCCUCGUGCCUUCAGUUCAACCAGCGAUAUGCUGUCUCUCAGCUAAGCCUCAGCGUGCCAAGUCGCUGGCCCUGCACGUCCUUCACAUCAGCGAAUGCGGGCCAACUCGGCACUGAACGGGCCCGCGGGCUUGGAUGUUGGCAGUCACAGCGGUCUGAUAUGGGAUCCAUGUGCUGGCCUUGCGGGGCUGCGGCGUGUGGAGUCGUCAGCUGCACUGCCAUGGCGGACGAACCCGGAGGUGGGUCAGCGACUUCGACUCUUUGCGGACAGCACGGCACCUCCGACCGGACUCAGCGUCAUCGUCCUGCGUUUUCCCGCCGUUUUAGCUAGGCAGGCCGUCAGGCGUUCACUGCUCCUGCCGCCGUCUCGUGCUCGUCACGCCGUCGAUUUUUGACCUGUUCCUUUCCUCGCCCUGAUCGUUUGCUGCGCAGGACAAACGUGCCUCCCAGACGCAGCUGCAGGGCAGCCACGCGUCUUGGCCCGCAAACAGCCACGCUUCGCCAGACAGCGCCAGUGGCCCAGCUUCGGCGUCAGGAGCCGCGCUGCCGCCUCUGUCAGCGUGGCAGCCCUUCGCCGUGUCCUGCGGCGCGCCACACCUUGCUGCCACCGCAGCCCCGACAGCGGUGGGCACGGCUGCUGCUCCGCCGCCGCAACGUGGGGUCGACGGCGUCGGGGCGGCGGCGGAGCACGCCGCGUUGCGGCAUGGGCAUGGGCCCGCCAGUGCGCCGCCGGGACCGUCGCGUCAGGGCCAUGAUGCCCAUGAGCGGUCCAGGUCUCCAGGCGCCAGCUACCCCACUUGCGCCGCCGCCAUCGCCGCCGCUGCAGCCCCUGGCGCAGACGCGCUAACAGCAGCAGCAGUCGCUGUGGCGGCGGCGCCGCCACCGCACUCGGCGGUUGGCGGCGGGGGCUUGCACCCCCCGCCUGCGUGGUGGGGCUAUUACGGCCCGCCGCCGCCAGGCCUGCACCCGCACCUGCCGCCGCCGCACCCGCACCUGGCGCGCCGGUACCACCCGCAUCCGCACCACGGCCACCAUCAUCACCAGGCCUUGCUGCGGCCGGGCCUGCCGCCACCGCCUCCGCACUGGGCGCACGCGCACCACAACCACCUCUCGCACCAUAACCACCGCACUGCCGCCGCCUACGCCUUCCGGCACGCGACCAGCGCCACAACCAGUCCCUACAAGACACCGCCACUGUCGAUUUCCGCAUCCUCUGGAGCGCUGCCGGUGGCACCGGAGGCAGAACCAGCGCCGGCGGCCGCCGCCGCCGAUGCCGCCGCAGGAGGCCCUGCGCGGCACAAGCGUGCCGUGUCGUACUCGGGACACGGGCACGUGCCCUAUUCGCCGUACCAUCGCCCGUACGGCUAUGGCCCACACGUGCCGCCGCCGCCGCCAGGCGCCUGCUACCCCCCGGGACCCUGGGAUCCCUAUGGGCCCUACGGCCCGCCGCCGUACCCGCCGCCCCGCUACGGUCCCGCCGGUAGCUCCGCAUUCCCGCCGCCGCUGCAGCCGCCGCUGCUGCCUGCAACCUCAUCGCACCAGUCCUCGCCGCUGGACCCGCAGCAGCAGCGCCCAUCAAUGAACCGUGCCGCCUCUUGGCACCCUGGCGCCAACCUGCCGACGGCUGCUGCUGUGGCGGCGGCGGCACCCGGCGCCAACGGCGGCGGCGGCGCCGCCACAUCAUCAAGUAGUAGCGACGCGCCGGCUGCAUCGCCCGCCGGCGCCGCCGCCGAGCCGCCGCCGAGCAUCGUGCACCCAAUGAGCUGGUCCACAGCCCAUGCGCCCGCCGCCGCAGCGGUCACGCAGCCGCCAGCCGCAGCCGGUGCGUGCCCGUACAAGCUCAGCAACUACAUGUCGGAGCCGCAUUACCCGUACUCGGCGUACUACGACAUGCCGUACUACGACAUGGCUCCGGGACUCGCCGCCGGUAGCGGCGGCGGGCCGAGUGUGUACGGGCCAGGCAGCGCAGCCCCGGGCGGCUUCCCGGCUGGCGGCGCCGCCGCCGCCGGCUGGCGCGCCGCCGGCCACGCACAAGGCCGCGUGUCCGACGGCAAUGGCAGUAGCACCGCCAUGGUUUACCCGCCCUGGUACCUCGGCGGUGCUGCUACAGCCUCUGCGCCGUCGCCCUUCCUCGCCAGCGCAAUGGGCGCCGAGGCGGAUGCAGGCCCCGCUUCAGCUGCAGCGACCGGCGGCGGCGGGGGUGGCAGCAAGGGCGCUCUCGCGCCGACGGCUGGCGGCAGCUCUGUGGUCAAGGUGUCUUCCUGUGUAGGCCUCAGCCCGCAGGACUCGUGGCCUGCAACCUCGCCCUCCACGCCUCCCACGCCCUGCCAGCAGCCGCUGUCGCCGCCAGCGGCACAUGCGCCGUCGCUACAGCCGCAGCCACAGGUGCUGCUACAGCCGCAGCCGGGGCAGCUGCUACAGCCGCAGCAGCUGCGGGGGGGCGCGCCGCCAGCUGACGACUCUGGUGCGAAGCGGCGGCGCGUGUGCCCCUCCACUUCCCUGCCGCUGCUGCCCUGCGGCGGCGGCGCAGGCGCAGCCGGUGCAGGCAAGGUCAGCGGGCUCACAGCAAGGCAUGGUGGCAUGGGCACGGGUCUUCACGACCAUUCGAAUACGCCUUGCGAGCCGCGGUCGCGGAUGCCCAACGGCAGUGAGGUCGCGUGGCUCAAUUUCUUGUCGGGCGGCGACGAUGCCAGCAGCGGCCGGGGCGCCGCCGCCGCCGGCAGUCCCUCCGAGUCCACCGCCACAGUAACGGCAACCGCGGCCGAUGCAGGCAGCGACGGCGCCUUUGCCCGGAGCUCCAUUGCCACGGUGGCGGGCUCGGGUCCGACAGCCGCCAGUAGUUGCUUAAGCCCCGCUGCCGCCGCCGCCGCCGCCGCCGCAGGCGGGUCUACCGUCGGUGGCUGCGGCCGCCUCUCAACUAGCCUGUCCGGCCCGGCCGGCUGCGCCGUCUCGGCUGCGCAGGGCUCGCAUGACGCGGUCCUGAGCGUUACAGGCAGCGCCCCCGGUAACAACGGAAACGGUGUCGGAAACUACAACGGCGGCGGUUACAAUCACAACCUCGGUUUCGCCGUACGGUACGACGAUGACGACGACCCAAUGGAGAUUUCGUUGCGUGCGCAGUCACACAUGUUUCUGGACCAGGAGGCGGGCACGGGGGCUGCAGGAGCGGGCGUGGCUGGGGACGCGGCCGUGGGCGUGGCGGCAGGCGGCGACGUGCAUGGCGGCCUGCAGCUGCCAUCUUGCAUGGACGCGCUCACGCAACAGCAGCAACACCAGAAGCAGCAAGAGACACCGCAGCAGCAUGGGCAGCUGAACGCGUGCUUAGCACGACAGGCGCAGCAGCAGCAGCACCAGUCCGCUGCGGCCGCGGCAGCGAUGGGGUCGAUCACCUUUCCCAGCCUGCACAUGCCGCCGCGGCAGCUGUCGCCACAGCGCGCGCCACAGCCAAAUCGCAAUCAGCACGCGCACCACGUGGAGCAGUCGCUGGCGGCGCUCCCCUCCACAGCACAGGGCGUGGAUCCGGAGGACGACCGAGAGUUUCUAGCUCGCGUGGCGGCUGGCUUUGAUGAUGGCACGCUGGACGCGUUCGAUGGGUUUGACGCACUGGAUCUGAAGCUGGAGUUUGAGGAGCUGGGCCUGGGUGCGGAAGCACCCACGCCGACGGCGCCGACGCCGUCCGGCGCUGUCACCCAGGCGCCGCUGUUGCUUACGGCGGAUGAGAUGGCGGCGGCGGCGGCCAUGGCGGCGGCGGGUGGCGGCGGCGCGGGCCGGCAGUUGGCGGCGGCGGCGGCGACGCCGCCGCCACGGGGCGCCUCUGUCUCUUCACCUGGCGGCAGCACGGCGAUGAUGGCUUCGCCUCCUUCCUCGCAUCAAGCACCCGCCGCGGUGCCGCCCACCGCCUCAAUGCCACCCGCCGCAGCGCACUUCCAGCACCAGCACCAGCACCUGGCGGCGCCGCUCGGCGUCGGCCUUCCUGCCGCGGUGGCGGCUGCCAUCGCCAGUGCCAGUGCCUCUUCGCCCACCAAGCCCCCUCUUUCCCUCGCGCCCGUCGCCGUUGACAUGACGACAGCGAUGCCUGCCGUCGACCAAGCGGCGGCAGCAACGGCCGCAGCCGCGCACGGUACGUCCCGGAGGGCGGCGAUUGGCAACGGCUGCCACGAGCCCAAGCAACUGCCGCCAACGGUCAACGACGUAAACGCCGAACACCUUCCGGGUCCCGUACGGGUUACGGUGGCGGGCGGCUCACUCGGAUCCAUCAUCAGCGCCGCAAUUAGUAAUGUCAAGAAAGCCGUACGCGGCGGCGGCGCGGCGGCAAGCGGCCGCCGCCGCAAGAGCUCCAACGCUGACAGCGAUGAGGACGAGGACGACGGGCGGGCGGCCAGCGGGGAACGCGCUGCUUCCUCUGCCGCCGCCGCAGCGGCAGCGGCGGCGUCAGCCGCCGCAACCACCGACGACCCCGCACGUGACGCCGCGGAGGCUGCAGCGGUUGGCGGGAAGGUGGUUGGCGUUUUCCACGUGUUGCCGUACCUUGAGGGCGGCAAGUGCAUAGAGUACGACGGGGAGCUGAUCAGCCGUAGCGCCUUCGAACGUGUGGGCGGCAGUACAAUGGCCAAAUGGUACCGCUCCAUCAAGGUAUGAGAGAAGUGUGGGUGGUUUGGGUGGGAUGGGGUACCGGUAGGUAGCAUGGGCGGGCGGGUAGGGUGACAUGGCCCACACCAUUCGCAGGUCGCAAAGGGACCCGACAAACUGAACAGCAACGGAUGGGUAGAUAGCCGUUUCGGUUUCCCAUGGAUCUAGGGGGAACCAUUCCAUACGAAUGCCUUUGGGCGAGGGCGUGGGCGUGUGACUGGCACGUGGGAAUCGGUUUGGGCGUUGCUGUGCUGCACAACGCACGCGCGCGUACCGUACAAUAAUGUAACCGCCACACACGUGCGUGCCGUGUGUGCUGUGUACAGGUGCUACCCGAUGGCAUGUCGCUGGGCAGGUGGCUAGCCGCACACAAGCUGCCGAUCCUGAAGGUGGGGCAGUGACUGACUGCCCCUGUGUAUCGCCCAGAACCAGCAGGCUACGGAUUUCCGAGCUGGUAUCUCGCCCCUCCGCGUAACCUUGUUGAGUUCUUGCACCGUUCUGCGGCUCUAGAGGCUCAGGAAACAUCCCCGGAGUUCGCCCUAACACACGUAACCCGCGGAUUGCCUGCCUUCCCGUCUUGGUGUAUUCGUUCAGGGCAAUCCCCGCCGGAGCUUCAAAGGCCGACGCGACCGUGCUGGGGAGGCGAACACACCGGCGCUGGCGGCAAGCGGCGGCGCUUCCGCUACGGCCCGCGGUGCCGAUGGCGCGGUGUCGGACGGAGAUUACUGCUGAGCAGAUUACCGCUUAACGGCUUACUGCUCUGCGUGGGCGGAUUCACGGCUGGCUCUGGAUGGGACGUCAUGGAACCACCUGACAGAAUGCGGAGCCCAUCAGUCAAGGCGACUACAUACUGAAGCCGCGGCUGCAGAAGGACUGUCAUGGACGUCUUUUGGGGCAGCUGUCGAGCUGCCGACAGCUGCACAAUGGUUGCGCUGGAGUGAGGGUGUAUAGGCGCAAGCAAUUCGUUGCCAAGCUUCGAUGGUGGUGGGAGCGGGUGUGUAACUUCAAUUUUGCAUGAAGAAAAGGGGGAGGACGGACGGACUGGACGGAGGGGGGGUCUGAGGGACCCUGUUAACCCCGAAACCAGGAGAAGAAGAAAAGGCUGCAGACACAUGUACUCAUAAUAAAAGGUUCGCCGUUUUUGGUGAUUUGGCUGGUGCGCAUACGUGGCUGUGGCAGACCCUCGCCAGUCCUCUGUCACCGACCGAUGCUGUGUACUGUACGGUUCCCCAGGGCACAUCGUGCCCUACUUUGUGCCAAUACGCACAAUUGGCGGUGGCCAACGUGCAGCAUCUUUGCAUAAAACAUUUGCCGGCGUGUCUGAGUCCACGUGCUAUUGCGCCGUGGAGUGGGCCCACCUUCUUGUCUACUGGUUUGCGAUCUUCCACUUCAUCUGUCCUCUAUCUUUGGUCGCGACCAUAUUCCGGUCCUAGGGCCGCGUGUGGUGAAUUACUUAGCCGCGUGCAUACAGACUUUCAAACUGCCUUAUGGUUAUAACUGUGUGGACGGACAAGCCAGUCAUAUGCAAGUGCUGGUGCACGUACUGGGUUAGGCUUUUCAUAGGUGCAUGCAAGCGGAUGCAAUUCUGGUAUCAGGGUGGAUGAGGCAGUUAAAACUUGGUCGGAGGCGGUGUUGCGCACUUGGGUGCACAUGUCGAUGACUGCGGUAUAAGCAGACAUUACAAGAAGGGGCAGUUCCAUCCAGUUAGGGGACAUGUCAGGCCACAGUUAUGCGGCGGCAGCAAAGCGUGUCACUUCGCAGCCAAUGAGCGUGAGAUUUGGGAAUUGGUAUGAGUGAAAGCUUCCGUAACUGGGCUCCGCUGCAGUUUUAUCUUAGGCAGGAACUCUCGUGCCACCUGCGCGUGUACGGUGCUGCUGCGCUCAGAACAAAGAACGCUAGGAUGCUGGAGAGGCCCCAUAGGUGAUGCCUACACAAGUGGUGCAUUGGCAAGUAGGAUAUUGAACUGGGCGCAAUAGAAGCCGCAAGGCUGCAAUGUCACAAGCGCACUAGCUGAUAGCACUGAGUGAGAGCGAUGGAGCAUGCGAGCGCAAGUGUGGCAAUGACGCUUUGCAGCCGUUACAGGGGCGGCAGGUUGGUGUCCUCCCUUCACGCCCUGAUUGCGAGUACGUUUGCUCGACGUAUACCUUCUCCAUCAAUUUCACACAAUCUAUCAGGCUGGUUUUAGCAGGUUUAGGGUAGGUGGCCAUCUCUGGACAUCUUGCUUUGCGCCGUUCUUCGUUUGGGUAUCCCCUGAUUGGUAUAAUGGCGUUAAACGGGACGGUUCCACUACCUAUCUACAGCCGAACGGACCACGCAUGGCUGAUGCAGUGGCAUCAGAGCUCUUCUUCAAUUGCUUCCAGCCGCUCCAAGUCACUAUGGAGCUUACACAUCACAUGCCCGGGGGACUUCCAUUUGUUGUGAUUGGGGGGUUGAAGGGGUAUUGCAGGAAUUCCUGAGCGAAGCGCUGACUCGUCGUGUGGCUUUCUCGCCUGGAUGCUUGCGCGCAAGGGGGCUUCCGUGCUUGCGGGACCGCCAUUGUAACCAUUUAUUGCCUUUGUAUGUGCCAGGCACCCACAAGCGCAGUCCCUCCGCGUCUUAAAUUCUGCGGAAGGCUGGAAGCAGUCGACGAGGCGCAGCAAGGGAGCUGCAUUUAAAAGGCCGACGACCAUGCGCGGCGCCUGUCGCUGCCAGCCUGUGAGCCUUCCAGUGGAGGAGGCGCAUAUGCCGCGGUCGGCGAGGGGAGGCCGCUUCGGCGGCGAAUAGCCCCCCCACACCCCGCCACCGACACCACGUGUCGAAACGCAUAAGGCGAAGGGGGCCCCGUCUCUGGAUGGUGGCCGCGCCGGGCGGGUGGGGCGCGGCGCCUGGACGAGGGGGGGCCUGAGCUGUGUAGCUGUGUUAGCCUGUUAGGAAAGCAAAAGGGGAAAAGGCAGACACAAAGGGUCUCGCUGUGUGUGUAGCACGGUAGUGGCGUGUGCUGGACUGUUGCCGGCAAACCGGGCUGGCUUGAGAGGUUAUGCGCAAGGACAUUGCAAAAGCAUGCAUGGAGUUCGCCCCAACAAGUUGACCAGGGCUACCUUGCUGUCUUAUGUCCAUAACAUUGCCGCAGUAUCUUGUGCAUGUGCAUAUGCUUGCAUUACGCCCACGCUUUCCGGUGUAUGCAUGCACACGGUCUUGAUACGAUUGUUCCAGACUUCCGAGCACCCGGCCAGCCGCUCAACCGAACUGCAACGCCCCAGCACUUCAAUCCUUGAGCAUGCACGCACCAACAAGCACUAGGCUCACCAUCACCACGCCAUCAUGACAGCGCCUCUGACACUGCGGGCCGGUGUUGCCCUCCCGUCCCGCACGGCAUCCCGAGCCCGUUCCUAGUCAGCGAGAUAUCACAACCGCACUUGCAUGUGUGACACUUUGUCCAAAUGGUGAGUGUAGUCAACAUCAAAUGAAAGGACCACAAAAGGGUUGCCCGUCACGCGGCUGCGAUCUGCAUUGAAGCAAACAAGUGGAGGGCCACCUCCGCCUGUCAGUUAACACGUGGACCGCAUCAAUAGUGGGCAUGCCGUAGUGUUCCAGUCACCUCUUCCUUAUUUGUUUCUAGGCUUCGCCGCUUCGGUGCCAGCACAGUUGCGUCCUUGCCUGCAGGAACCAAGAACUUCAUUUCACGCAGGGCUACCACUGUGAGCACCGGCGCAGUUAUCACUUGCAAUUACCGUACUUACCAACGUCGCACACAGUACCCGCCAGCGGUCCUUAAACGGUGCCAUGCACAUGCUUCCUCUCGCCAUCACGUGCGCCAGCUGUCUGAGAUAAGCACUAAAGAGGGCCUAGGAAAGUUUGGUCUGCAUAGUCAGUCCGACAACCUCCUCAUCACAUUUCUUGUGCCAUCAUGGCAGCACUGUCCCCACCACCGCAUGCCGGUCAAAAACGCACACUUCUAACCACAACCCGUCACGUGCCUCCUGGCUGCGUGCGCCCGCAGAUGCUCACCGUACACACACACACACACACACACGCACACACGCACACACACACGCACACACACACACACACACAAUGGGCGGGCUUCGUUCUGUUGUUUUUGUAACAGGCACACAAUUUCAGCAAUGUUUGCCCCCGCAUACUGCGCAUGCACAGUGUUGACCGCUUCCCCCGCGAGCUUGCACGCACGCGCGCGUUUCCGUCUCCUGUAACACAUACAAACGCGCGGUGCUGAUUCUCUUUCUCCCUGUAACACCCUUCACAAACAUGCAGUGCAUGGCCCAUAUAUAUACACACACACACACACACACACACACACACACACACACACACACACACACACACACACACACACACACACACACACAGCACCACCACACACACAUACACACGCACGCAUGCAUGCACACAAGAUCCGAUUUAUUGAAUGUAACUUUAUGAUGAUGUGUUUGCUCAGCCCGUUGGACGGCUGGAUCAAUCACAGUCACGGGCCACAGAAACAUUCAAACGGGCCAACGCGCAACAAUCCUAUAGGACACCAUCGCCGACCUCCGCCCACCAUCCUGACCUGCAAGUAAGCCCAUGUUUUACAUACCGCAAACGUUGACUGUAGCUUGGAUUGCCAUCAAAUACCAUCAAAGACUUCCCGCAGUCUAACAGUGUGCUGCCGUCCGCGGGAUCCAACUGCUAGCUAUACACUUUUGUGGAACAGUUUCAUCCAGAUCGGUCUCAAAACGUUUAACGUCUACAUGCCAUCAUCAACCAGGUGCGGCAAUUUACCUCAAGCAGCACGAACCCGCGCAUGCAAUGCAGCGUGUGGACCUUGGCCACCGCGGGCCGUCAUCGCAGCCCACCGACCUUAAUCAGCCCUCGCAACCAACCUGGCCUGAGCUCCUUGCACCCACGCUGUCGUCUAGACCGGCGUGCCGGCAGGGGCGCUUCCAUGCAUCCCAAUGCCUCUCUCACGCCUGCCGCCGCCGCCGGCGCUGCUGCCGCCGUUCCGAAUGCCGGCACCGCCUCCUCCUCCUGCUGCUCCCUCCUCGUCGGCGCCAUCCUCUCCAUCACCCUCUCCAUCACCGUCCUGAUCGCCCUGGCCUUCACCGCCCUUGUGUGCCUUGGCUCCCUUCUGGUUGCGGCGGGGGUUGCCCUGCGAUAUUUCACAGCACAGGCAUGGAGGGUAGGAGCACGACGGUCAAGCCCAGGCCGAGGCGAGUGGUCUGGCAGGCCUCAAAACUCAAAGAAUAAAGUGGACCGAUGUUUGUGCCAUGUCGAGGCUCGCACUUGCUGGACCUUCAUCGGGGGGCCCAUGUGACUACAGAGUGCGGAAUCACCACCCGCCAUCAUCACGGACCAUGCCGCUGCCGCCGGCGGUGCCCACAGAUGUAUCAAAUCCGGAAUAAGAACGCAAGAGUAGCGGUUUCCGCCAUGCCGGCUUGCCGCUAUGCCCUGGCUGGCGCGCACCUUGAUGAUGGGUAGCCCGCGGCUUGUGAGCCAGCGACCCAGCGACACGCCCUCGGGAAGCACCUAUGUGCCGACAGGGCAGGAGCAGGAGCAGGGCAGGAGGGGUUACAUUCGUGAUUAUUAAAGAAGAAGUGAAGUUGUAGCCAGGAGGAGGGGCAGGAGGGGCAGCGGCAGUGACUGGCUGGACGGAUAGAUAGCUGGGUGGCUGGCCGGCUGGGUGGGUGGGUGACUCCGGGUGGAUGACUUCGGGUGUUGGGUGGCUCAGGCGUGGGUGGCUCCGUGUCAGGGACCUUGGGCAGUGCCGGGAAACAGCAGGCGUGAGGGACCGCAUCGUCAUGCCAGGCGAGUGGCCACGCCCGCACCACCACCACCAUCACCAACCCACCAGGCUCUCCGGUCUGGCCAUCUCAACUCCGUAAAAACCAACCACCCUGCCCGCCCGCCCACUCUUUUCCCACACCUUGAUGGAGCGGUACCAUUUGGCCAUCGUACUGCCGCCCACACGUUCGAAGGCGCUACGGCUGAUCAGCUCCCCGUCGUACUCGAUGCACUUGCCGCCCUCCAUGUACGGUUUCAUGUGGAACACGCCAACCACCUUGCCGCCCGCCGCCUCCGCCGCCUUCUGCGCCGCCGCCAGNNNNNNNNNNNNNNNNNNNNNNNNNNNNNNNNNNNNNNNNNNNNNNNNNNNNNNNNNNNNNNNNNNNNNNNNNNNNNNNNNNNNNNNNNNNNNNNNNNNNGGAGCGGGGCGCGGAGGGAGCAGGGGAGGAGCGGGUGCAUUGUACCCGGUACGUGCUCCCCUAAGUCCUAACUUUGUACAUCGGCUGCGCCCAAUGCCCUCCUAAAGCCGAUUGUGGAGUUCCUCGCUAUCAAGGUCAAGAAGCUGGACAGUGACGCUACGGAUGUGGAGGUGCUGUCCAUGGAGCCCCUGAUGCCGGCGCUCUUCCGCUCGGCCUUCCACCUCGCCAAGUUGCACCGGGUACGUAUUUAGGCUAAUGUAUCGGUGGAUUCGGGGUGGAGGGCGGGGCAGGGCGGGGCGUGGGCGCGGGCGUGGGCGUGGGCGUGGGCGUGGGCGCGGGCGCGGGCGCUGACCCUUCUGUUUCUGCCUACCUGCCUUCUUUGCAGCCCUUCUCGGACUUCCCGGACAUCCUGCGCCUGCACGCGUCCAACGGCACGCCGGGCAUCGUGUUCGGCGGCCCCUACGAGUCCGACACCGCCGUUGUCGACAUGGUGGAUUGCAUGUCGUACGCGCUGGAGGCACAGAUGAAGGUGGAGCUGGAGAACGCGCGAGCCAUCACGGUCCUGGUGGACGAGUCCACUGAUCGUGGCCGCAGCCACAACCUGGCCGUGUACGUGUCUUACGUGGGGCCUGGCUUCCGUGUUUACUGCCGGUUCCUCAAGCUGGUCCAGCUGGGCAGCAACUGCGACGCAGGCGCGCUGGAGAGCAAGCUGCUCGAUGCCCUGAAGGUGCGCGAGUGCCCCGGGUGGGGGCACAAUGGGGCUACAAUCGGGCUUCGGGUAGUUUAAGGCACAACCCCCGGUGUUAAGGCGGUCCCUUCACUUGUAAUCCGCAUCGUUAAGGCGGCGUUCAGGCGGAAGUUGUUGGUGCUGACCUUUGUUUCAUUCUGCUGCAGGGUUUCAACGUCGACCUGACCAAGCUGUUCGGCUUCACCAGCGAUGGUGCCAGCGUCAUGACCGGCGACCAGACCGGCCUGUCGGCUAGGAUGCAGCUGCACAACCCGUUCAUGCUCCGGUGCGUGUGCUUGGCGCACAAGCUCGCACUGUGUGUCGCCAACGUGUUCGCCACCUUUCCCGAGCUGGUGAAGCUGGACGCCACCAUCACCACCAUCACCGGCUACUUCGCCUUCUCCUGCAACCGCAAGGCCCGCCUUGACGAGCUGCUGGAGGCGCUGGAGGAGGAGGUCCUGACCGUGCUGCAGGUGCACAAGUAAGCAACCUUCGGCAGAUAGUUACGUUCACUGACUGCACGGGGAAUCGGUGCUCUCUGUGCGGUGGCUUUGUUGAAAUUGGAUGCCCGUUUAUUAGCUGUCUCAGCCAUGCUGAUUAUGCAUUUGCAUGAUGCAGGGUCCGCUGGCUGUCCCGCGAGCGCGUGGUUACGCGGCUGCUCAAGCUGUACGACCCGCUGCUGGACUACUUCAAGGAGGAGGCUGAGGCGAACGAGAAGGGCGCGCAGGAGAUCUACGACACACUGCGGUGAGUUGGCUGGGGGAUGAGAGUUGAGGGGAACGGCAUGGGUUGUCAGCAUGAAGAGCGCGGCAAGCACGGCUUGAAGGGUGCGUGUUUGAGGGUGGACGGCUCACGUUAUUGUGUGUAUCAGUCCGCGUGCUUUCUGCUUACCGCUGUGCCCAACCCUUGCGGCAGGGAGGUGACCAACAUACUCCAUCUGCACUGCGUUGGGGAGGUGCUGACGGUGGUGUCCGGGCUGACCAAGGUGCUGCAAAGCCGCGAGCUGUCCUACCUGGACAUCGAGGCCCAGGUGCUGACCACGCUGGAGGUCCUGGAGCGCGAGUACACCACCGGCAAGAUGCUGAAGGACGGCCCCUUUGCGCGCCUUGUUUCAGAGCUGCGGGGCGCCAACGGCCUGUACCGCGGCAAGCACUGGAUCUCGGUCAAUGGUGUGGAGGACGGCCCCAACGAGUCGUUCGCAAUCACCAGAAUCGGCCUACUCGAGGUGCGGUCCACUAUCAAGAUCGUGACGGCCAUCAACGAUGACGUGCGUGGGCGCCUGCUCGGUGUUGUGGACGUCGCCAAGCACUUCAGAAUGUUCGACCCCAACCAGAUGGCCGCCAUCGCCUCCACCCCGGCAGAGGGCUUGUACGGUGACAUUGAGCUGGAGCAGCUGCUGGAUUGGUACGGCAUCGCGCACGAUGGGCACCCUGCUGUUGUGGACGCCCAGCAGUGCCGGACCGAGUGGCUGAAGGCGCGGCGGAACCUGCUGCGUGCGGCUCAGGCGGCCAAGAGGGUUGUGGUGGCCAAGGCGGAGGAGGAGGCCAAGAAGGCGCCCCUGGCCAAGAAGGCUGUAGCCGCGGCGGCAGGCAAGACGGCCGCACCGCCUGCGACGGCCGCACCGCCUGCUGUGGCUGCACCGCCUGCUGCGGCCGCACCGCCUGCUGCGGCCGCGAACGUGCGCAUCCCUACGCGCGAUUUCUGGGCGCUACAGCUGUACAACCUCGAGCAGACGUCGCCCGCUCUCAGCUUGCUAGUAAACAUCAUGCUGGUGCUGCAGGCCACCAGCGUGGAGGUGGAGCGCGGCUUCAGCACCCAGAACUUGAUCAAGACCAAGCAGCGAACCAGCCUUACCAUGCAGAACCUUGACGCGCUCAUGCGCGUCAGCCUGCUGGGUCCGGAGCUGGGCGACUACUCGGACUUCAACGGGAACUUGCUGGUGCCCUCGCUGAGGCGCUGGUUCGACAAGAAGAAUCGCUGCCCAGCGCGGAGCUGCCACGGGCCGCGGACCGGGCAGCAGGCGGAGGGGGAGGGGCGCGGUUAGGGGUAGGGACAGCGGGAGGGGCAGGGGCAGGGGCACGGGUGGGGAGAGGGGCAGCGGGAGGUGCAGGUGCAGGGAGCGGGGAAGUGGGAGCGGCAGGUGCGCGGCUAUGUUGAGGGCAUGGUUGCGAAGGCUUUGUACAAGGACAGAAACUGGCUUUUAGGAUGCGGACUGCGGCUUUUAGGAUGCGGACUAACGGCGUUUAGGGAACUCUGUGUGAAUAUUGAGAUGCAUGCGCAAACAGGCAAGCUAGGAUAGGCUCAAGAAUCUCACACACGUCUGGCUUCCCGUCUGUUCGCGUUCACGUUCAGCAAGCAGUUUGAUUAGCGUUUGCUGUCGCCACGAUUAUUUUACCGUACCGACGUGAAGGUCGAAGAGUUUGGGGGUCUUGCCCGCGGCGACACAGCCUGCAUGCGUCCAUCCCAAACAUUCCCCUAAGACUUCAAUGCUUAUAGCACAUGGUACGCGCCGUUGGGCAGGAGUUCUACAUGUAUACAACCCUGCGGAACAUGUGGCUUUUGCCGUCUAUCCUGCUACGGGCACCCGCCUGUCCCAUUCGCCUUGCCCGCGGCGACACAGCCUGCAUGCGUCCAUCCCAAACAUUCCCCUAAGACUUCAAUGCUUAUAGCACAUGGUACGCGCCGUUGGGCAGGAGUUCUACAUGUAUACAACCCUGCGGAACAUGUGGCUUUUGCCGUCUAUCCUGCUACGGGCACCCGCCUGUCCCAUUCGCCUUGCCCGCGGCGACACAGCCUGCAUGCGUCCAUCCCAAACAUUCCCCUAAGACUUCAAUGCUUAUAGCACAUGGUACGCGCCGUUGGGCAGGAGUUCUACAUGUAUACAACCCUGCGGAACAUGUGGCUUUUGCCGUCUAUCCUGCUACGGGCACCCGCCUGUCCCAUUCGCCUUGCCCGCGGCGACACAGCCUGCAUGCGUCCAUCCCAAACAUUCCCCUAAGACUUCAAUGCUUAUAGCACAUGGUACGCGCCGUUGGGCAGGAGUUCUACAUGUAUACAACCCUGCGGAACAUGUGGCUUUUGCCGUCUAUCCUGCUACGGGCACCCGCCUGUCCCAUUCGCCUUGCCCGCGGCGACACAGCCUGCAUGCGUCCAUCCCAAACAUUCCCCUAAGACUUCAAUGCUUAUAGCACAUGGUACGCGCCGUUGGGCAGGAGUUCUACAUGUAUACAACCCUGCGGAACAUGUGGCUUUUGCCGUCUAUCCUGCUACGGGCACCCGCCUGUCCCAUUCGCCUUGCCCGCGGCGACACAGCCUGCAUGCGUCCAUCCCAAACAUUCCCCUAAGACUUCAAUGCUUAUAGCACAUGGUACGCGCCGUUGGGCAGGAGUUCUACACGCAGCGCGGUCCUGGCGGCUGGAAAGGCCUGGGUGGAGGCCGUGCCAUCUGAGUGCCAUCCGCGUGCCAUCUGUCCUGAAAGUCUGCACGGAAGUCGAGAAGACGAACUCGACACAGCGACAGUCAUUAACAUAUAAUCAUUCGUGUGCUGGAAGUAAAUACGUCCACACGCUGUCUGCUGCGCAAGCUGUCACCCGACAAUGUUUACAGCCUCUUUUGGCUUGCGAACAGCUGUUUCAGUGUCAUAACAUGCUCAUCAGUACAUCUAAUGUAGCUCUGGGUACAUUGGAGGCCUUGCAGCCAUGGAACGGACUUGGAACGCACUUGAAAUUGUGGACAUCUCACCGCCCUUAACGGUCUAUGCAUACACACCUGGACAAUGGCCUGCUUAUUGGAUGGUCUAUGCAUACACACCGACACACUGGCUUGGUUCUUGGAUGGUCUAUGCGUACACACCGGCAUACCGGCUGGCUUGGUCGAUGCAUGGUUGCACCGUGCUCUGCACCGUGCUCGCGUGCUUUCCCGCGGCUGGUGUCAAGCCCGCAGGUGGUGGCGCGCUGUGUGCCUGGCCUACCCCCAAGGCCCACCGUGCUCGCGCCCUUUCCCGCGGCUGGUGUCAAGCCUGCAGGUGGUGACUCGCUGUGUGCCUGGCCUACCCCCAAGGCCCACCGUGCUCGCGCCCUUUCCCGCGGCUGGUGUCAAGCCUGCAGGUGGUGACUCGCUGUGUGCCUGGCCUAUGCCCCAAGGCCCACCGUGCUCGCGCCCUUUCCCGCGGCUGGUGUCAAGCCUGCAGGUGGUGACGCGCUGUGUGCCUGGCCUACCCCCAAGGCCCACCGUGCUCGCGCCCUUUCCCGCGGCUGGUGUCAAGCCUGCAGGUGGUGACGCGCCGUGUGCCUGGCCUACGCCCCAAGGCCCACCGUGCUCGCGCCCUUUCCCGCGGCUGGUGUCAAGCUUGCAGGUGGUGGCGCGCUAUGUGCCUGGCCUACGCCCCAAGGCCCACUGUGCUCGCGUGCUUUCCCGCGGCUGGUGUCAAGCCCGCAGGUGGUGGCGCGCUGUGUGCCUGGCCUACGCCCCAAGGCCCACCGUGCUCGCGCCCUUUCCCGCGGCUGGUGUCAAGCCUGCAGGUGGUGACGCGCUGUGUGCCUGGCCUACGCCCCAAGGCCCACCGUGCUCGCGCCCUUUCCCGCGGCUGGUGUCAAGCCUGCAGGUGGUGACGCGCUGUGUGCCUGGCCUACGCCCCAAGGCCCACCGUGCUCGCGCCCUUUCCCGCGGCUGGUGUCAAGCUUGCAGGUGGUGGCGCGCUAUGUGCCUGGCCUACGCCCCAAGGCCCACUGUGCUCGCGCCCUUUCCCGCGGCUGGUGUCAAGCCUGCAGGUGGUGGCGCGCUGUGUGCCUGGCCUACGCCCCAAGGCCCACCGUGCUCGCGCCCUUUCCCGCGGCUGGUGUCAAGCCUGCAGGUGGUGACGCGCUGUGUGCCUGGCCUACGCCCCAAGGCCCACCGUGCUCGCGUGCUUUCCCGCGGCUGGUGUCAAGCCUGCAGGUGGUGGCGCGCUAUGUGCCUGGCGUACGCCCCAAGGCCCACUGUGCUCGCGUGCUUUCCCGGGGCUGGUGUCAAGCCCGCAGGUGGUGGCGCGCUGUGUGCCUGGCCUACCCCCAAGGCCCACCGUGCUCGCGCCCUUUCCCGCGGCUGGUGUCAAGCCUGCAGGUGGUGACGCGCUGUGUGCCUGGCCUACGCCCCAAGGCCCACCGUGCUCGCGCCCUUUCCCGCGGCUGGUGUCAAGCUUGCAGGUGGUGGCGCGCUAUGUGCCUGGCGUACGCCCCAAGGCCCACCGUGCUCGCGCCCUUUCCCGCGGCUGGUGUCAAGCCCGCAGGUGGUGGCGCGCUGUGUGCCUGGCCUACGCCCCAAGGCCCACUGUGCUCGCGCCCUUUCCCGCGGCUGGUGUCGAGCCCGCAGGUGGUGGCGCGCUGUGUGCCUGGCCUACCCCCAAGGCCCACCGUGCUCGCGCCCUUUCCCGCGGCUGGUGUCAAGCCUGCAGGUGGUGACGCGCCGUGUGCCUGGCCUACGCCCCAAGGCCCACUGUGCUCGCGCCCUUUCCCGCGGCUGCUGUGCCUGGCUGAGUGAAGAUGCAUGCUGGUGUGUUGACGCGUUCCGCGUGUUGACUGUCUCAGGCCGCUCCCGCAUCACUGUAAUGUUUGGGGGGUAUCGGUAACUCCAGCUCUAAGGGACUCGAAGUCUGGCCCGGGCACUCCUCCGAAACAAGAUACGCAGAGUUGAGGGCAGGCGUGGGCACCGGCGACGACGGCGGCCAGGGCCCGUUGGGGGCCACCGCCGCCACUCCGCCAUUGCGCGCGCGAACCUGUGAACCCCAACUUGAAACUCCAACCCGUAUUUCAGCUCGGCAUGCGUGCCAACAGAUCAUGCAUCGCUGUCGGCGCGCCCAUCCCCCCCCGGCCGCCCGCUUCAGCCCCGUCUCCACCGCACGACUUCCUCUUGCCCCAUAAAAGCUGUUUGCUGUCUGCUUACGGGUCUGGGCAUCGGCUGCACCCUACGGGACCUCGCCAACCUGCCUUGAACCCUGUCCCAUCACACGCCCCAUAAAAACUGACAUCAUGAUGUCCACACCGCGCUGCUCCAGGCUGACCUCCUCCGGGCUGGGCGGCUCCAUUCAAAACAAGAGGCAUUACCAAAUCAAGAGGCAUCGGGCCCGCGAAUCCCGUUCCACGCGACGAUGCCACCUAGGUUCAGCGGGUGGCAACGUUGGUGCUCUUGCGCUUAUUUGGCUGCCGUUGCUGUUGCUGCAUACUAUUAUUUACAUUGUUCAUGUUCCACCCCCUUGAGAGACCAUUCACGCGAUUCCUUUGCGACGUCGGCCCCCCGCCCCCCCCCCCCCGCCCCCCCGCCCCCCGCGCCUGUGCCUUGCAAACAAACUCCCCGCGCCUUCCCCCCGCCCCCCGCGCCGCACGGCGGCUCUAAAAGUGCACGGACACAGAAGUGAAGUGAAGGACACAGAAGUGAAGUGAAGGAAGUGGAAGUGAAAGUGAAAAAAUGUCGGAUUCGUACCUGAGCGCCAGCGUAGAUGAGCAAAACUUCCCAUCUUCACUGCGUAGAUGCGGUCCCACGAAUCCGCAGAAUUUCACCUGCAAUCUGAAGAUGCACUUUCCAAAAAUCCUAAAAUGUAUCUACCAAAAAGCGGAAAUUUUCAAAAUUUCUACAGUGUAGAUGGAAGAUACGGGCACUGGCAACGGUCCCGGCAGGCGAUCCUCUGCAGCCAGAGACUCGGGAAGCGGCCGGCGGCGGCGCGUGCCGUUGCCGCCGAUGCGGCGGAUGGGCGUGCCGCUGGCGGCCUUGCCGCCCCUUGCGCCGGCGGCGGCACGUGAGCCGGACGGCCCCGCUGCCGCUGCUGCUGCUGCCGUGGAAGUGGGGGUGGACACUGGCGACACCGCAGCGGCUACAUGCUUGGAGUCGGCCGCGCCGCCAGUCGCGCCGCCGCCCAACCCCCCUGCUGGGCUCGGGCCUGGCCCGGGGCCGGCGUCAGCGUCGGCGUCCGGAACACUGAGCUGCUCCUGCUGGACCGACGCCCCUGGAUGCUCCAACCUGACGAUCGGGAUUGUGUCGGCGCCACAGAUGCCAUGGACACCGCUUCCGCUGGGAGCGCGCACAACAGCGGCCGGCGCCAGCGGCGAUUGCGAAGAGCGCUGGUGCUGGCGUGGAUGCUGUGUUUGGUGCGCUGCUGUCGCGUCUUGAUGAAGCAGAUUCGUCCUUGGCGCGUGGGCCUGGGGGCCGGGUGCCAGCGUUGGGAAAUCCGGCGGCGCAGCUGCCGCCGCCACGGCCGCCGCAACCGCCGGCGUGCCCGCAAACGUGGGGAAGCCGCCGGCGCCCGCGCUGCCGCCACGACGCUGCUGCUGCUGUUGUUGUUGGUGGUGGUGCUGCUGCAGGUGGUGCCCCGGGUGCAGCGCCAGCAAUGGCUGCAGCGCCUGUGGUAGAUGCGAGACGCCCCGGGGCACCGGCAGCGGCUGUGCGACAGCCUGGGUCCCGCGGGGCCCGGGCAUGACGCCGAUGCCGUCCCGGAACGCCUGGGCGGAAGAGGCGCGACUUCUGCUCGCGCUCGCUGCACCGCCGCCAGAGGCGGCGGCGCCACCGGCGCCAACAUCCGCGCUCAGCGCCGUUACGUAGCGCUGAGAGCCGCUGGCGGCACCGCCCGCGGCGGCCGCCGCCACCGCCGCCGCAGAAGCUCCGGCGGCGCCGCUGGCUGCACCCAUGAUGCUAAAGCUGCCGCCAGCGCUGCCGCUGCCGGGCUGCCACGUCGGCGCGAGACUGAGGCUGCCGGCUGGGCUGGUGCCCGCGCGGACGACGCUGGACACUACGCUCUGUGCACCCCCUCCGGCUGCGCCGCCACCGCCGUAGUUGACGGCGGCGCCACCUCCGGGGCCGAAAAGCGCCGCCAGGCGCUGAGCACUGCCAGCGGCACCGCUGCCGGCACGGACGCUGCCGCUGCCGGCGCGGACGUUUGUCGGGUAGGCAGCACCGGCCAGGCCCAAGCCUACGCGAUGGCCUGAGCCGCCCAGGCUUGUAUCACCAAGAGGGGACAGGUGACCUGAGAGCGGCUGACCGGCGGCGGCGCCGCCACCAGGGAUGGCGCCGCCGUCGGAACCAUGCAAGAGCUCAAACAGGGCAAGGUUGAGCUCUGCCUCAGCGCCCUCCAGCGCGAGGCUGUUUGCAGCCUCAGAAGGGCGCGGCAGCUGCUGCGCCUGCUGCGCCUGCUGCGCCUGCUGCGCCUGCCGUUGCUGCGCCUGCUGUUGCUGCAGUAAUAGCUGCUGCUGCUGCUGCUGCUGAUGCCGGUGCUGCUGUUGCUGCUGGAGAUGGAGCUGCUGUUGUGCCGCCUGCUGUUGUUGGUCCUGCUGCUGCUGCUGCUGCUGCUGCUGUUGGGACUGUGGCUGCUGUUGGAACUGUGGCUGCUGCUGCUGCUGCUGUGACUGUUGCUGCUGCUGCUGCCGCUGCUGUGACUGUUGCUGCUGCAUCAUGAGCUGCCGCUGCAGCAGCUCAAUCUGCUCCUGCUGCUGCCUCAGGAGCUGCUGCUGCUGCGCCAGCAGCUGCUGCGCGUCUGCCUGCUGUUGCGCCUGCAGCUGCUGCAGCUGCGUAUCCGCUGCCACAAGCCCGCCGCCGCUGGCAUCUGCGCCGCCGCCACCGGCCGUCACUGCUGGCGCGUGAGCAGGUGGCGGGCUGCUGCUGCCAUCCAUGAGCAUUGCCGUAGCUGGCACCUGCUGCUGUUGCUGUAAUUGAUGGUGUAGUUGAUGGUGUUGCGGCUCCACGGGUGUGCCGGGGCCCCAGAAGUCAGGCAUAUCUAACAGGGCAUCAAGCGGGUCCGCGGUGGCGGCGACGCGGCUGGCGGCGGCGGCCGCCGUCGCGUCGAGCGCCGCAAAGGCGGCGGCGGCUGGGUGCUUCAGCUGUCGUCGUGACUGCAGUCCCAGCGUACCAGCGCGCUGCACGGGCUCACUAGGGGCGUGCAGCUCCAGCUGCUGGCGUUGCUGCUGCUGUUGCGGCGGAGGCUGCGCCGACGCCACAUGCGGGUAGCUGGAGCUGCUGUCCACGCGGCGGCGCUUCGCGGGAUCGCUGCCGUGGGCGGCGGCGGCGGCGGCUGUAGCAGCGCUGGCGGCACCCGCGGCAGCGCUGUUAUUUUCUUGGUACGCGCCUGCCUCGGAGACUGCGACAGCGCCGUCCUCAGCUGUAGCAGCCGAGCUGGC